CCGCGCCCAGCUCCCGCCGCCGCCGCCCCCCGGGGGGGCGGGCUCGCUUCCCUCCGCAGCCCGCUUCGGGGACCCGGCCCCGCGGUCCCGGGGGCGGGGGGCUGCGCUGCCCGGUCCCAGCGCAUUGUCCGCCCGCGGCGGCUGCGGCAGCGAGCGGGCUCUGGCGGCGGCGGGCGGCGAGCAAGUCGCACCUCCUGAGCUCGGCGAAUGGAGUGACUCGCUGAUAGAAAAAAAAGGAGGAAAAAAAAAAAGCAAAAGAAAGAGAGAGAGAGAGGAAAAAAAAGAUUGAAAAAAAAAAAAAAGACAAACAACCCCAAAAGAGCUGUGUGUGCCGGGAGCCGCGGGAGGGAGGGUGGGGGCCGGGAAUCCCCCGGCCGCCGCAGGUCCCGCUGCAGCUGCUCUCUAGGAAGGGAAUGAGCUGGGGAGGGUGAGGGGAGGGGGAGGAGGCCGGGGCGGGAGGCGAGCGCAGGGCUCCAGGGGCCGUCUCCGAGAGCUGCUAGGCCGGGCGGGCGCAGCCAGGCGCGCCGCCUCCCGCUGCCGCUGCCCUGAGCCCAGCAACUUGUGGGUCCCCGACUCUGCCCUCCACUCUCGCCCUCCCCUUCUCUCCACCCCCUCUCCAGGAGGAAAAAAAAAAUUAAGAGAGAAAGAAAAAGAAAGAAGAAACCCCUUAAGUCUAAAUGAGCAAACAAACAGCAAGAUCCAAAAUACGUCAGUGGUCUGAGCAUCUCUACCCCGUUAGUUACUGUUUGGGGAAUCUGUGUUUGAAAAAGUUCCUGGUGAGAAUUGCAUAUCCAGGCGAGGGGCUCAGUGGAGCAUAUCUGUCUGAAGUUAGUUAAACUACUAGAGCCAAAGGGAAAGGGAGUUUGUGUUCAAAACAUCCCUAACCAACCUACGUGAACAGCAUUGUUAGGUUUCAGAGUGACUGAACCCCGCCCCCCAGCUCCGAUGUGCUUCCCUCCCGCUGUCCACCCAGCCUACUUUGUUUAGAAGCCUAUUUGCUAUUAAUUGACAGCGUUAAUGACAUUAAUUGCGUAUAGCAUAUCGGUUUGAGCAAAGUGAAUAUCUCUUUCUGUCUCCAAGAGGAAAGGCUCAGUAGGAAGUAUGAAAUGUUACCCAUUGAUUCAAGAAGAAAACAAAUACAGAGUUGUGCACCCCCACCCAGCAAGCGGUUACUUUCCUCACAGGCUUAGGAGAAUUUGAAAAGAAGCGGAGAGAAGAGAAGUGCUUAGAUGCAAGACUCGGUUAUCAUAUGGAUAGUUUUAUUUUGAAUACAGCAUAGCUUUAGUGUAGCAAACGAAGACGGAGGGACACUCAGAGAACUGUUCAUUUAAAAACCUGCCAUUUUGGUAGUUUUAUUUUUUUUCCUGCUAUACAUUAUUUUCAUUUUAAAAAAAGACAGCAGACGGAGUAGGAUUAAGCAAACAGCUUUAAAAAGUAGACACAUAGUCGAUUUAUUCUAAAGUCUUAGCUAAUUCUAUGAAACUCCGUGUACUGGAGGAGUCAUAUGCCAUCUAGUUUUAAAAGAUGUUAAAUGCUGUGCUCAUCAAUGAUUACUUUGAAACUAGAAAAUCACACAUCUGAAGAUAGCUGAAAAUGAACAUCUAGUUCUUAAUAUUUGUGUCUCAUGAAGAAUUAACAUCUUAAACAUUUUACCCUUUAGAGACAGAAAUCUAUUCUCAGAUCAUUGUGCAAAGCUUUGAAUGGUGCCUUUUAUGUAACGAGGUGAUAAAUACUUUGAAAUCAAUUUACAGUUGACCCCAUCCCCCCAUUUGCCUUGCCCAUCCCCCUUCCCUCCUCCUCCUCUCCCUCCUUGCCUCCCUUUCUCCUUCCUUUCCUCCUAGUUACUUUCUUCCCUUUUCUGCUGGUAGUAAAUGCAUUUGCUAGGAUUGCCCCAGUAAUCUCUCUAGCUGAGGCCUAUUUGUGUGCCAUUUUGGGAAUUUCUCUGAGAUAGGAAUCUUGAAGAUAGAAUUAAUUUCUAGAGGAAACUUCAUAGCCUGUGCAUGAGUGCGUCCUUUAUCACCUGUCUCCAUUUGGCAUUCGAGGAAGGUAAAUCAAAGUGUGCGAUUUGUUAUUCUGCUCCACUUGAGAGCCGAACUAAAUAACACUUGGUCUGAAAUUCUGAUUGAAGGUGUAGGGGGAUAUACUAUGUUUAAUUUAAUGCCCUUUAAUAGCAUCUUCUUGUUCAGCUUGGAUGCUGUCCCUUUAAAGGUUGGAUCUAAGAAACUUUAACCUAUAGGGCAAGGGAGGACUAAUAAGUCCGUAGGAGACAGAAGGGACAUUAUAGAAGAGAGGAAGGAAGAAGUUAUAAACUGUUUGAAACAGUAAUAGCUACAAACUUGGUCCAUUAUCCAAACAGUUGUUUUAUGCUCCGAGGAUUCACUCUGUUACCAGGAUUUUAAAUGCUCUUAACACGUUUAAGUGUAAAAGUCACACGUAUAAGUUGUUUUCAUUUUGUAAUGAGAAAUGAGAAGUCAGAUGGUUUAAAAGGAAGUUGCUUUUCAUAGAGCCCUCUUUCAACUAAGUCAGUCUUUCCACCUUGGUUUGUUCUUUGCCCCUGGAACUGGGUGGUUAUUACUAUUUCUCUGCAGGAGCAGCUGAAGACAAAUAUGUUAAUAAAUGAUGUGUCCCCUCCCCAACCUCCAUAGACACGUUUUAAGUUUUUUGUUUCAUUUAAAGAGUGGUUCCUGACUUACUGGCCACACAGCUAUUUAUGAGUGCUUUCCUGCUUUUCAGUUAUGUCCAUGACCAAAACUAAGGAAGAGGUGUCAUUUGCAUUUAUCAGGCAUACCUCCCAAAUAUAGUAGUAUGCAAAGACUCUGUCUUUACAUCCCGUGCAUAGAGACUUGUCUUUAAUGACAGUUAGCAGUCCUUGAAGGUCUCUGAAUCAUACAUACAGAGAACAUGGCUCUAGGGCUUGAAAGAGUAAGUUGAAAACCUUGUGUAUGUACACUUGUUUGAUUUUCUUUAAACUCUAACAGGCUGCAAAUUAUAUAGCACUGCCACAGAGUUGUUCCGCUCUAUGGACCUAUAACCAGGAAAAUUAGAGAGCAGCGUCAAGCAUGUGUUCUGCCCAUGCUGGUUUGCAAGGCAUUAAAAGGUAGAGGUGGUGGCUGGCACUUUUCCUAAGGUAUUCCUACAACGCUAGCUUAAACAGUGAUAAAUGAUGAUAUGCGUUGUCUAACUCUUGCUUAUAUAUAUAAAUAGCUCCACAAGAUUGCUUAAAUGAUAAUCGAAAAUAUGAAAUAGGAUGGCCUUCAUAUUACAAGGCCAAGGGUCUACAAAUGGAAAAACUGAAAUAAUGAAAUAUUUCCAAGGCAACAGGCUGUCAACAAGAACUGUAAUGCAUGGGCAUAUCAUAGAUCCACCAGAGAGGAUAUUAGAUGGCAGGGCUCCAGAGUCAGGAGUUACAGUGACCUGUGUUGCACAGGACCCUCCCACAUCACAGAAUGCUUUCUGACUCCUAAUUUCUGACUUAUGAAUUGAGAGAUAUAGAAAGAUACUGCAAAGGUCCAAUGUGCCAUUCAUUAGAUUUGAUUUUUUUUUAUGGUGCACUAACUGGAAUCAAUAUCAUUUAAUGCUCUUUUAAAAAGAAAAACUUACAUGAGUUCUUUUUCUCAAUUUGUGAUAUUCUGUGAGUAGAGGUUUUGUGUAUGUGUGUGUGUGUGUGUGUGUGUGUAUGUGUGUGUGUGUAUCAUACUAUAGUAUGGAAUAUACAUAUGUUCAGGAGUAAAAUUAUAGGAUGGUCCAUUCUCAGGACAAAGAUGCCUUAGGUAGCCUUAGAGUUACAAGUUGCAGAUAGCAAGCAGUCCUGGGCCCUUGCCCUAACAGCCAGUAAGUGCUUGUAGAAGCCUUCUAACUACCUCCAUUCAAACUAGAAAUUGAGCUCAGAGUGGAAAAUUACUAGCAGCCAAACUUGCCGAAUGGUUUGCUGAUGUGACAAAGUCCAUGCAUCUGGAAGGUCCCUAAGCAAACAGGAUCUUGGGGGAAGGAUGAACGAGCAGUAGAGUCUUUGCUGAGAGAUGUGGACAUAGGAGCAUCUCGUAAGAAUUAAGGUUAGGAGUUGUUCAGAAAGUUCAUAUACCCCUGUACUAAUAGGUCACUGGGAAGUCAGGGAGAGCCCUUUAUACCAGGGGAUAAAAUGCUUGCUGUAAUAGCCAUGGCUAUACUUGCUCACCAGAUACCUGAUCCUACAAGACCACCAUUGAAAAUUUAAUCCCACUGCCCUACUAGUGUCCAAGUCCAUUCUUUUGGUGUGGGCAUGGAUGAUUGUUCCCACACUCUACAUAGUACAACUUAGUUUUGGCCAGAAGUUAUACAUAAUUAACAUUUUUCCUGGCAAUAAAUCAGAAUUAUAUUGCCCUUUAAAUAUAACCUACAGAUUAGGACAGUUUGAUAGGUUUAGUAAUAUGAGUUUUGUUCUUGCCUCUUCCGCAAUCCUUCUUCACAGCAGUUGUGUAUAGCAAAGUGGUUUUAUGAGAGUGCAGAAAUUUCAGUGACCCCUUUGAUUCCCUGCUUGAGAUCCUAGACUGGGAUUCACUGGCAUGCUAUAAUUUCAUUUGUUUACAUCAGGUCUGCUUCCCAGGGCCCCUGCUCUGUUGUGGGAUUUUCCAUGAUCAGAGCCCAAUGUGUGUGUGUGUGUGUGUGUGUGUGUGUGUGUGUGUGUAUGUGUGUGGUGUGUGUGUGUGUGUGUGUGUGUGUGUGUGUGUGUGUGUAUGUGUGUGGUGUGUGUGUGUGUGUGUGUGUGUAUGUGGUGUGUGGUAUGUGUAUGUGUGUGGUGUGUGUGCAUGUGUGUGUGUGUAUGUGGUAUGUGAUAUGUGUGUAUGUGUGUGUGUGUGUGUGCGCGCGCGUGCGUGCGUGCUAGGAAGCAACCAUGAGUGGGGAUAUAGAGGAUUGUAGGGAAGUGGUCGUUUAUAAUAUUGAGGGACAUCAUGUAUGGGAGUAUCUACAGAAAUAGCACACUGAGUUUAGAAUGACUCCUAGUAAUGUUUUCCCUUAUUAACACCCUCAAGCACCUUAAUAUCAAUAGUGACCCCAAUGUGAACCUUGCUACAUUUUUGCUUUUCUGCAACUUCUGUGACCUCGUCUGUACGCAUUUAUGUACACAUAAUGUUGUUAAAUCUAAGGGACAUUAAACACACAGGAUAUGGUGGCUAGCCACCCAGCCCUUGUACAUGGCCAUUUUUUUCCUACAUUGUAGCAUUUAAUUGUUUUGAUUGAUUUUUGAAAGUUCUGUAUUACAUUUGGCUUUGAAUGGAACUCCUGGUGUUUUAUACACAUGUCUGUGUGUAUAAGAAUAUAUGCUGAAAAUUUUAAUAGGUUGGUUGAGUAAAUAUUACUCUCUGACUUUUAAAUGGUCCCAUGGUUGCAUGUAUUGAAAAUUUAAAUCUACCAUUAGGUAAGAAUGUCUACAUUCAUGAGAAAAUUCAGUUGUUUGCAUUAAUGAUGUUAGCAUUGCCACAGUAAAUAGUGGCCUUUUUCUUUCUUCUCAUUGGGCCGCAUAAUAAACCAACUGUAACCAAAUGGUAUUUUUACUGCACUGGGCAUCAUUAGGACCAGUGGAUGUUUGUACUAUCAAGUUUGAUAGACCCUUACAUAGUUAGAAUAAUCUGUAGUAAUAUAAGUAAUAGCGUAGUGCAUAAACAGGGCAUGGCUUACUAAGACUGGAGUGACUUCUGGUGUCUCUGAAAUGCCAGGAGCAGUGACAACAUUGAAGAACACUUGGGCAUAUUGUCUGUAUGCACUGGUAAGGCACAGAGUCUUACUAAAUUAAACGGAAUACCACGCACUCUUUCAUAUAAAGUCAUGAGGAACAAGAAGAAAAUUACAUGUUAUUAUGAACCGUGGUGCUCCUGACCCCAGAUGGCAAGUAUUGGUUGCUUCUUUCACCGUCUUUACUUAUUGAGUCUCCACCAUAGGGUUGGUGACUGAUACUGUAUAACACAUGCUGCAGGAGCAGUCUCUCUGGUUAGAGAGCUGCCCUGCCUUUAGAUGUGCAAAGCAUUAGAGUCAGAAGCCAUCCCUUCCUAUGAGUCAGUAGUGCAGAAUUCAGAGAGACAAGGCCUUCUGUAUUUUUUAUUUCACAUUUUCCCCUCAUGUUAGUUGAGUAUUCUAGGAUAGUAGGCAUCCACUUUGCAAAAUAUUAUAAUGAAUGGCUAUGAAGUAUUCUUGGAGGAAAUAAAAAGAUACAUAAAUAUAAGUGUGUUUAUAGCGGUUUUCAGCAGAUGUUUUGACCAGUGUAGAGCUAGGCUCCGGGGGUGGGGAUGGGUGGUUGGGGGCAGUAAUGAUCAUCACUGGGCACUGUCCUUAGUCAGACCCUGCUCUGCUCAGGUCACAGUGCCUUUUCUUCCAGUUCCUUAUAACCCUUUUAAGGAAGUGUUAGCAUCUCUACUUAGAGGCUAGCAGCUUCCGUUUCCUAUGGAAAGUGACAGAAAUGGAGAUUUAAUCGGGGGUUUGUCUGUGAUGCAGACUGAGGUGGCUUGCUGUAAAAAUAUUCUGUCACACCUCUGUGAGAAGCCUGUGGCUUUGAACCUCCUAAAGCUAAGGAUGUCUGAGUCAAAGGGAGAAGGCCUCUGUGGCCGAAGUGAUGCUGGAUCAUGGAUGCUGGAUCAUGGAUGCUGGAUCAUGGAUACUGGAUCAUGGAUGCUGGAUCAUGCUGUAUCUUGUACCUUCCUCGGGUAUUCCGAGGAUAGCAAGAAUGCUGUAUAUACCGAGUUAGUGGGAGGAAGAGUCAGUAUUUCAAGUGUCCCUUCCUUGCCCUUUAGCAUUUGAGUCCCAUUGUAGGCAAACACCACAGCAGUGCAUGUUUGACUCACGAUUUUAGAUUUUAGCGGACUCAUUUUCCAGAAUCUGGCUUCUGGUAGACACACUCCAGGGUUCAGAGUCUCUAUCCAAUCUCCGUACCACAUUUCUCGAUUGUCUCAGGAUUAAAUAGAUUCGGGUUGAUUUUGGUAGAAACAAUCUCAGAUAGUUUUCUAAAUAAUUUUGUUAACUGUUAACCGUAUUUUGGGGUAUUACUAUUUGACAUAUAUAAGGACCUUCUAUAUGAAUUGACCUCUCCAUAGGUACCAGGCAUUAUAAUGUCAGCAAGCAUUUAAAGAACCUGUGAUUAGACAGGUGCUAUUCUGAGGACUUUGCAUAUACUUCUUCAUUUAAUUAAAGUCAACUACCAUUGGUUCAUAGUUGGUAGGUUAUUAUUUUAUCAUUUGAAUGUGUGUAUGAUAGGAGGUGUGUGUGUGUGUGUGUGUGUGUGCGCAUACACAUGUAAGGGUGGGUUUGGUAUGUACAUGUGUAUACAUGUGAAGGCCAGAGGACAACUCAAGGUGUCCAUCCUCUGUUUCUACCUUGUGUGAGGCAGAGUCUCUUGUUUGCUGCUGCCUACCCCAGGCAAGCUGGCCUCCAGGCUUCUGCAGAUGCUUCUGUCUUCCUUCCUGUCUUGUAGGAGGAGGACUGGGAUUGCAGGCUUGUGUGGAGUUUCUGGGGAUUUGAACUCAGGAGCACGCACUUAUGUAGCAAGUGCCUUAUCUCCUGAGCCACCUUCCCAACCUGGUGGGUUGUUAUUGAGGUCUUCCUUACACAGUACAUGUGCACAUAUGUGCACUCACAAGCACACACAAGGACACAUCAGCAUAUAGGCACAAAGAAGGGAUGCCUUCUAUAACAUUUUUAUUCCUCUAUUCUAGGGGUCUAUGUGGUUGUUUGGGAUUGUAGCAGUUUUUGAAUAAAACUAUGAUUUAGGGAGCUUUAUAGUGUUAGGCUUCAGGCCAGGUCACUGCAGAGUGUAUGUAGGGUGAGGGUGGCUGUUAACCAUGGUGUGUUCAUCUUUAUAGUUUUGCAUAUGUGCUAUUAACCAGAUAGGGUUAAACAUGGGUAGCAGAACCAUGAAGACUUGAACAGAUUAGGUAAACAGUGCUUGAGUAUUUGUGGUUGAUGAAGGCAAGUAUUUUGUUUGUGGGACUUAAUUGGGUAUUCCUUUCUACAAUCAGCAAUUUGUUUACACAAAAAUGUUGCCUGAUAAGAUAUUGGUAGGAACUCAUUUAGAGAGAUCUACAGACAUAUCAAAGAUCAAAAGCAGACAUCAGUGAGAAGUGUAAGUGAACUGAAGGCUGCAGCACUCAAACUAGCAGUCAGAUCACUUUAAAAGGAAUCACCUCUGAGUCCAGGAUUUCAUCAUCAGUUCCAAAGCUAAAACAGGAUUCCUUUGCUAGCUUGGUAUCCAGCAUACAGCACAGGAAUGUAACAUAUCUCAGUGUCACAUACUUCAAAGUAAAGUUUCAUGAUAUUUUAAUACUUCUUCAUGGGGCCCCAGAAUCAUGCGGUACCACGUUUGAUCUAAUGUAAGAGUUGUAAAAAGAUUUAUAGGAUGAUCUCACUGUAAAAAAAGCAAGCAAGCAAGCUAAUGUUGGAUGGAGUCACCUGGAGGUGAAUCCUGUGGGAACAAGCUCACUUUCCCUCUAAGUCUAAGAGUUUUCUUUUUUUGCUAAUCUUUUUCUUUCUCUUUCUUGAGACUGCACAAAAAGGAUGCUGGUUCAAAACUUCGUUUAGAAGCACUGUGUUCAGAGGGACUACAGGUGGGGCAACUGGAGUAAUCGAAACUGUUUGCUGACCCUCUCUUUCUUUGGUCCUGGAAAACACAGACAUUAAUGAAUAAGGAUAUCUUCAUAGUUAAUGUGUAUUAUGUUGAGUGACAGUGCGUUUUUUUUUCCCUAGAAAAAUAAUUCACUCCUUAGAAUCUGCUUUUGAAAAUGAAUGUGUUCUAUUCACAUGUGAAUGGAAUUUUUAUUGUGUUGGAUUUCAUACAUGCUGUAUACAGUUUAUAUAUUAAAAUGUUAACAAUAUUAAAUAGGUAUAAAAUAGGUAGCAGAUAUAGGGUUUGUCUACCCCUACCCAAAAUGAAAAAAAAAAAAAAGAAGUUACAAAGCUAUCUUGAAUGAAUUAUAAAUGUCUUCCUUUAGAUUGAGUUAAAUUUAAAUAUGUGCAGUGGAUUGGUGACUUUUUUUGUUUUCCUAGUUCUGUGAGGAAAAGUAGGCUCAUCAUUUUUUUUUUUUUGCACAUUUUUAUUGUUCUGUGUAAAUGUAAUUUGUUAAUCCUGUGAAAUUUGUCAUAGAUAAAUUUGCUUGGAUUAUCUUGUCACCACCGUAUCUGCAGCCUUUUGUUCAUUGCUUAUUCAUAAUUUAACAGUCUGGCAGUGAGCCUUUUUGGGAUGCUCACAAAAGAUAUAUGACCUCAACCAGCUGCUACUAUAACCUGCAGAAUGCACAGCAAGACAUUAGGAAUGUGAGGAUUCCUCUACUGAUUAAAGUGCUCUUCAUUUAAACAGUCUGUUCCUAAGAAUCUUGUGCUACCCGCAGUCCUGAUUUUUUUUUUCUUCAUUCCCAACAAAAUUAGUUCUAACAAUCGAAUCUUCAUUUGAUAUGAAUUUUUUCACAUUCUCCAGAGGAAGUUAAUUCCUUCAGUGCUGUUACUUCUUACGAACUAAAUACUUACAUAUCCUUUUUAUUUGGGGAGUGGCAAGUUAUUUUUUAAAUGGUUUGAUGGCUCAAGAAAGAAAGAAGAACUGGAAGAGGUCUAUCACAUCCUAAUCUUCAAGUCAAUAGUUGCUUUAAUCCUGUUUGAAUCCAAGCACUUUGUAGUUUAUAUUCUGAAUUCUUCAUAUUAGGUACUAAGUGGGAGACAUUGAAAAGAAAAUGUUGCUUCAGGUAUAACCACAUUUUUAGGUUUUCAUUAUCCUGAGUUAGUUUAGCAUAUGAAUCUCCCUCUUUCCCUCCUCCCUCCCUCUUUCCCCCUCUCCCUCUCUCUUUCUCUCUGUCUCCUCAUCCCUCCUACCUUCUCUCUCCUUCCCUCCCUCCCUCCUUCCAUUCCCCCAGUCUCCUCAUCCUUCCCACCCUCUUUCUUCCUCCCCCCUCUCCUCAUCCCUCCCUCCCUCUCUCUAUUCCUCCCUCCCUCCCUUCUUCCCUCCCUUCCUCCCUCUCUCAAUCAGCAGAUCAGUUUGUGAGUAAUGGUUAGUUUUUGCCUGUCUUCUGUGCAGGCAUAUGAUUAUGGUUCAAAAUAAUUCAUUGCUAAUCCAUGCAGUAUUGCUUCAUCUCCAUCACUCGGCUCUGUGAUUAGAGCCUCAGGCCCACUGCCUCUCUUCCCACCCUGAUUUUCUUUAACUGCAACCCUUGUUUUAAUAUAGUUCUGUGCUCGGCGCUCUCCGACCAGCAACUCUCCAUUCCUCAUAUAUAUCGAUUGCUGUAGAUUAAUAUUUAUUUGAAGCUAUUUUUCAGACUUUGUGAAAAAUGUAUUCAUUUCUUAGGGCGAAUCUUCAUGUAAAGGGAAGGGAGAGGGAGGGAGGGGAAUGGGUGGCUCAGGUGAUGCUUUCCAGAGGAUCCAGUCUGGAGUCUCUGCUGGGGGCAAGGCUUUCUCCUUUUAACACAAAUCAGGAAGUUUGGUUUCCUUAAGAAAAUUUGCACCAAUGGAAGUACAUUAAGGGGUUCAGCUCUGCCUGUGACGGGUCCAUGGUCCAUGGUGAUCUGUCCUGGUGCACACUGUACGGGUACUGUCUCCACACUGUCCAAUGAUCAGUUCACCCUGCAUAUUUUCAGACAGAGACACAAAACUGUCAUUUUCCCCCCUGAGCAUCAGAAUUUGCCAAUUUUGCCAGAAGGUCAUCUCACAGAUUUUUAGAAAGACUUGGUCUUAGAUCUCAGUGGUCCCGCGUUCCUUUUCAUAAUUACUUUCGUCUCAUUGUAGCUGUGUGUUUGAAAGUGUAGGUCAAUGAGGGUGAUUGCAUUCAGAAUUUCAUGAUCUGUGUAGUGGAACAAAUUGAAAGCAAAGCCUGUAUCAAUCACUGUGAAGGGAGGGUUAAUUGUUACGGCUUCUCAAGCCUCCGGACAGAUAAACCAGUAAUGAAAUACUUAGUGCUCUGAUUGUGAAUGCUAAGGGAUGAAACAAUGGUAGCAGAGGCAGGCUAGAGAGAUAACCAAAGGCAAAGAGAAAAGAAGCAGUCUGAAGUAUGGCAUGCAACUGCAUUAACUCUCUUAAAGGAACAUUGCUGUAGCUUCCUGCCCAUCUUUUGCUGGCAGGUGAGGGCUGUAUUUACAUCAUUGCUAAAGCCAGAUAAUAUACACGUGGAGACCACUCCCUUUUGAAAAGAAGAAAAAGGUAACAGAAAGAGAAAGGAGGAAGGUGCCACCUUGCUGUGUACAGAUUGUGUUUGUUUUAUAAAAACAGUGUUUGAGUUUCUAAGUUUUCUCCUUUUAAAAGCCCCUGAUGUCAGGAUGCUGGAUGUUGUGUGUGCAUAAAUGUCUCAGAUUUCAUCAUGUUCCAAAGGAUUGUCAUGUUUGAUGGGUUUUUGGAAUUUGUGAUCCACUGAUGACCAAAAUAUGGAGGAAAGUGCACAAGAGGGAAAGAAAUAAUAAAAUAAGAGUUAGUGUGGCCAGGUAAUCAUGAGAUUAAAGUAAAUACCUUUUAACUGUAGCUUCCAUACGAACUUAACAUUGAAACAUCUGUUAGUUACUUAUAUGUUGAAAUAUAUGCAAAAAUAUUUAGCCAAAUUGAAGUCUUAGGUCCAUGACAAUCAUCUCAACACAGUGGGUAGUUCUGAAAAUUAAUGAGAAUGAUAAUACUGUAAAGACUGUUCCAGAGUUUGCUCAAAUUCAUUAUCUAAGACUCUUGUUAAGAACAUCUCAAAGAAUUUUAACCAGGAAAAUAUAUUGAUGCUUCAAAAGCAUUUUCAAAAUGCUGAAUUAUAAAAGUAUAAUGGAAUUAUAUAUGCAAGAGUUAUGGUUAGCAAUACAGAUAGCUGCAGAUAUUCAGGAUGAAUAUUCCCUUAACCUGUACUGCUCUGGCAGCUGUAUCUACUCAAUUUAAUCUCUUUAGUUUUAUUAUUAUUAUUAUUAUUAUUAUUAUUAUUAUUAUUAUUAUAUUAUUAUUAUUUUGAUUUUAGUGUAAUAAAAUCUAGAACAUUAAAAACAAACAAACAGUGCCUAACUGUUAGUGUAAGAAAGACUCUAGUUGUAAGAGUCAGGUACCUUCAUAUUUUAGCUUUAAUUUCAAAUUUAAUAAAACUACUAGCAAGAUUGGUUGUUCUUAAUAAAAAGGACAGCUUUUUACUACAGAAUAUUAGUGUUUUUCUUGGGCUCUGUUUGUGUGUUGUGUUUAUGUGCCUGCACAGUGACUAAAAGGAUUGUUCAUGCUCUGCCCCACCCCUUUUUAGAGGCACCAUCCUCUGGCUGAUGUGGCUUGUGUAUUUUAAGAGAUAGCUGUAAUUGUGAGGCUAUGCCACAUUGCUGACUCAGGAUAUUUAAAUUGCCAGUAAAAUGCACCGUGACAGAGGCAGCAGUCAGCACCCAAAGGAUCCCAGUCAUUGUGUGUGAGAGUGAGCAGGCGAGAAGCAAAAUGCCAUUGCUUACACAUAAGCCUAUCAUCAAGACAGAAGCCACAGGUGAGGAGCCAGUCCGGGUACCAGGAGGACUUCCUUUGGUCACUGACCCUUGGAAACGCACAGACUCACAGAAAGGCUAUGUCCCAGCUGCAGGUCUUCCUUUAUCCUUGUAGGAAGUCUUUCCACACAGGCCCUUUAACCUCUUAAUGCCUCAGCUUUCCCAUUGUGCAUUGAACAGCUUGCAGUCCUGAUGGUAAAGCCAAUGAUUAUGUGCUAUAAGCUCUGUGGACAUAUAGAAUUAUAUAAUGAGCUGAUGCCCAUGAUGGAGUCCUUUUCUAAUGGCAUUAAUGCUUACAAAUAUAUUCUUCAUUUGUAAAAUUCAGAUUAAACUAAUGCUUUCCAUGGAAGCUUUAGUCUAUGAGCUAUAUGGUAGUUGAGUAUUAUUUUCUUCUUUCAAAAUAUAUUUCAAAAGAAACUUACUGGAGAUCAUCAGGGAGGAAUGGGAAGAAUACAUGUAUUAAGUUGUGUUUUAAAAUACAACUGUUUUGCUCAAGGCUUGGUGUCAGGUUAGGGAGGAUGCUCAAAGUGUUUACCCACAGACAUACUUGUUAGUUGAAUUUAAUCAAGGUAGAAGAAGAUCCCUGAAAAUAUUUGAAAAUUAGAUAUGCCCAUAGGGAAGUGAAAAUAUAGUAUCUGGUAUUCAGGUGAGUGGGUAUGGAUGAGUGUAGGGGAGACUCACCUCUGACAACUUUUCAUAUUUCUAGAACAUAGAUGCAGAAAUGGACUUAUCCAGACUUGCUAUUUAUACUUUCAAACUUUGUUUUUAAAAGGGAUUUUGUUCUGUGCUUUUUCUUAUUUAUUUUUUUACUUAUUGAUUGAGUUUAAUAUAGACAUACUUAAGGAUUUAUGAUUGGUUAUGCUAGUCUUACUUAGAGCCCAGAUUUCUGACUUUGUUAAAAGGUAUAUUAUGCACUUUUCUAUUUCUGUUAUAUAAUGCUAUGAUCAAGGCAACUUAUAAAAGAAAGUUUAUUUGGGGCUUAUGGUUUUGGAGGGUUAGAAUUUAUGAUCCCCAUGGCAGCCUAUGGCAUUAGAGUAGUAGCCAAGAUCUCACAUCUUGGGGUACAACCCCUGGGCAGAAAGAAAGAGGGGGAGAUAGGAGGAAAGAGGGAGAGAUAGGGUGACAAGAGACUAAGACUGAGAAGGAGUCAAACAGAGACAAGCUGACUCAGGAUAGCCUGCCCUCAAUGGCACAUCUCCAACAAGGCUAUGCCUUCUAAUCCUUCCCAAAUGGUUCCACCAACUGGGGACCAAGUAUUCAAACUCAUGACCCUCUGGGGGUCAUUCUCACUCAAUUCACCAGAGCCACUUAUUUAUUAUUUUCUUGAAAAUUUCAAGUGAGAGAAUUAACAACUUUGCCUGAUCUUGCUAUAUGUAAACUACCUUCAUAUACUCUAUGACUGUAUAUACUCUAUGUAUCACAUGUAGAAUAAGAGUAUACUUCUUAGUUAUUCUGUUGUUAAUAGUAUCAUAUGGUACAAAUGUGUAAAGUUUUUGUUUCUACAGAAAUCUUCAGAUUUUUCAGAAAAACAGUAGGAAGGAUUCUUGAGAGUUAUAAUGAAGACCUCACUCCUGUAACUUCCUUCUUCUCCACUUGUCAAAACCCUGUAUUUAAAGCUCAGUUUAGCAUGCUUAAUUGUGUACUGUAAUACUGACUGCAUAGUUGGUGGAUGGUCAAGAUUUUACACACACACUCUCUCAGAACUUAAUGGAAAUUUUCUGUCUGAUAGUCAUGCUUUUUUCCUGUUUGCUCUAUAAACCUAUACACUUUCCCUGAAUGAAGUGAAAUCUGUGUCUCAGCAUUGUAUUGUUUAAAGUUUCUCCAUACUGUGAGCUCCGUAAUCACCAUGAGGUCACAGUGAGUAGGAAUCUGAAGUUGAGCUGAGGCCAGUGUCUCAGGAAGGUGGCCUUCCUUUACUGUGCUAGUUUCUUCCUGACUUUCAGAAUGAUUUUUUUCCUUCACUUCUUCACCAGGGACUUUAUCCCUGGAUUUACCCACAGUGCCUUUUUGUAUCACGUGAUGUUUUCUCUUCAUCUCCUGUUCCUUCCUCCUGUAUAGGGCCAGUGGAUGUCAGUCCUUUGUUGCUUUCUAGUAUCUCCUGAGGUCUUACAGAAUUUGUUCUUGGCACAAUAAAUGAAUGAACUCCAGCUUUAAUUCCGCCCAUUUCUAUUCACGAGCCUCAAAUUACCUAUAUCUGUCGAAAAUUGACUCCCUCUAUUGGCAUAGCCCAUGAUCUUUGAGGCAAAGAGUGAACUAACAGAGAAAAGUUAGCAUUUGGAAGUUAGAGUUCUCUUUCCCAUGCUAAGUAAUUCCUAGCACAUUUGAGGUUCAAACCUGAAUUAUCCACACAAUUUGUCAUGGACUCCUGGAAUAUUCUGCCCUAUUUUUUUUUUUUUUUUUUUUUUUACUGACAAUCCUUGUAGAUCCAAGAUAGCUUUCUAUUACUCAAGGAAUCAAGAAAAUCAAUUAGAAUAAAAUAUAUCACUGAUAGUUUUUUUUUUUUUCUUAACCUCCAAAAAGAUGAAUUCUGGAACAGUGAGCUACCAUGUUUCCAAUUAGGUUCACAUUAAACCUAUUUUAUAGUCAAUUAUAAUUCCAUAAAAUUUGAAUUCUAUUAAUUUUAUAUUUCACAAAAUUGUACCUAUAAUAAUUUAAGUUGAUUAGACCAAAAUUGAAAAAAAAUCCAAUCAUGUAAAAUAGAGCAUGUUGCAAAGCGGGCUGACAAUUUUCCAGAGCUCUAGUGGCAUGGUUCAGACAUGACUUGGCUUUGUACAGACAUCAUGUAUGAGAAAAUCUGCAGCUAGAUCUCAUGUAAGGGGUUGAUGGCUGUGAUAAUUCUGGUUCUUCAUCAUCACUGACUAACAUGGUAAAUGUUAUGACUUUCAUGCCUAACUAACUAACUAACAUGUUGUAGGGCAAAUCAACUUGCUUGAACUUAAUAUGUAAAAAGAAACAAAGUCAUAGCUCUGGGGGGAGGAAAAGGUCGGUAAUUCAAAUGCACUCGCUGCUUUCUCUCUGCAUUCUGAACACCAUUGGCUACUUUAAAGGUUAUAAUCUAUAGACGUUUCUUUUUAUAGACAAGAUGAUGUUGUUUAGGCUGGGGUUGGCUUGAAGCUUGCUGUGUAUUCCAUGUUGGCCUCAGACUCAGAGUGACCCUCCUGCUUAAACCUACUGAGUGCUAGGUUACAGGCCUGAGGCAGUAGAUGCUAAGUUUCAUCUUCAGUGUAGAUCAGCCUUAUAUAGGUAUUUGAAAAUAUGUUUUGAGAAAUUUUAGCUAUAAAGUUUUACUAUUGGUUUAUUAAUCUACAGGUGAGAAAACAGGCUUUUCUAAAACAAAAAUUAGCCUUCAUGUGAAGGAAUAGACAGACCCAAGUCUUUGAAGCACACACCUAAAGUAUGUUCUUCUGUACCUACACACAGACCAAUAGACUGGAGUCUACGCCAUAGCACUGUUAGAAAUUCUGUUCCUUGUUAACCUUAGGCAGAAGCUUGUGUUUCAGUUGCAAAUGGACCCAUGGGUGGCUCUUUGCAGAGCCAAGUUAGUACAUAUGCCACUCGGUUAGCUUGUUUAUAUUUGCUCUGGCUUCCCAACUGGAGACAGAAUCUGUCUUCCCCAUAGUGUCUAUGCUCCUCGUCUGAAAAGCACGCACCAUCUCAAUAUUAUGCCCCCCCCUGUUUUUCUAAAAUAAGAAUUAGGCAAGUAAUUUUUCUAGUUGUAAUAAUAACAUCUGAAUAAUUCCCAUUUAUCACAGCAUUUGUGUAUCAGACAUAGUGAUAAGCCCUUUAUCAUCCUAUCUUAUACUCUUUUAACUAUGUGAAUUUCAUUUGCAACUUAUCCUUGAUGUCUUUGAGUGUUUCUUAUUGUAAAAAUUUCUUUCCUAUUCCAGAUAUUUAUUUUUCAUUUCCCUGUUCUCUUAGACAUUUUAAAAGCUGAAGGUAUUUCAGAGUUUUGUUGAAAUGUGCCAUUCUCUUAUCCAUAGACUGACUUCUGUGGCUCAGUUUUGAGAAUUGUGAGUAUCAUAGUCCUGCGUUAGGCAGUAGGUCAUGGCGAGUGUUGAUGGCUGAUAGAAACUCAUAGGACAUUCUGUAGUGUGAGGGUAGAAACUGUGGCCUAGAGUCACUGCACUCAUGUACAUAGUGUCCCGAUUCCAGUGCAAUCCAGAAAGCUCCUGUUUCUUGCUUGUCAUUUUGAUUUCCUUCUUUGUUGCUAACUUCUUUAUCUCAGGCCAGUCACCCUUUCCUUAAGUGCAUACCAGCAAUUCCCGCUAAAUUUGGGCCAUUCCACUUUUAACCAUUCUAAGGUUUGUUCCCUCCCCUCCCCUCCUCUUCCCAUCCCUCCCUUUCCCUCUACUUUGCCUUGAUUUUUAUUUUCAUAUUUUGUAAAUUCAGAAGGAAUUACUUCUCUCACAAAUGUUUCUAGAAGCAAUAAUAGCUUCUUUCACCCAAUGGACACUUCUGGAAAUUCUAGUGUUGCCUUGUGUCCAGCUAUAGUGAUAUUGGAUAAUUGAAAGAGCUCACCCUCUUUAAAAAGCAACACCCUCCUCCCCCAAAAAACAGAUAAAAAGCUGUUCACAUUUAAAGACUAAAUAACCCAUACUUUGAUUGUAUUAUCAUUUUAUAAUUUUUAAAUUUCAUUUAUUUCAUGGAAUGCUCUGCAGCGUGCGUGGAUUGUGUCAAGGGUUCAAAGGGACAGCAUGAGCCAUGUCUAUGAGACUAGGGGUGGGCCUUUUAGCAUAAACUCUACAAGCAACCACACGGUGCUGACUUUACAAACAUUGGCCGUGUUUUACAAAAUAUAGUAUCAGCGCUUUGUGCUGAGGGUCUGAAUGUUUUCAGGGCAACUGGGGAGAAAAGCUGACCAGAUGAACUUAGGAUAUGUGGUAGUAUGGUGCAGUGCAGUGCAGUGAUAGUGUAGUGUAAUGAUAGUGUAGUGGAGCAAUAGUGUCAUGUAGUAAUAGUGUAGUGUAGUGGUAGUGUCCUGUAAUAGUAGUGUAGUGUAGUGAUAGUGUAGUGUAGUGAUAGUGUAGUGUAGUGUAGUGAUAGUGUAGUGUAGUGAUAGUGUAGUGUAGUAUAGUGUAGUGAUAGUGUAGUGUAGUGGUAGUGUCUUGUAAUAGUAGUGUAGUGUAGUGAUAGUGUAGUGUAGUGGUAGUGUCCUGUAGUAAUAGUGUAGUGUAGUGGUAGUGUCCUGUAAUAGUAGUGUAGUGUAGUGUAGUGUAGUGUAGUGUAGUGAUAGUGUAGUGUAGUGUAGUGAUAGUGUAGUGUAGUGUAGUGAUAGUGUAGUGUAGUGGUAGUGUCCUGUAGUAAUAGUGUAGUGUAGUGUAGUGAUAGUGUGCAUAUUCAUUCCCGUAUACUCUGCAAAGAAGAUGUGUGAGGGAAGUCAGGGAGCUUAUGUUUGUUCACAUAAGCAUUUUGUAUACACCGUGUGAGAACACACAGCAUCCUUUGUAUUUAGGUAGCUUUCCCUGCAUUGACUUAAAUAUUCCUGACAGUUAUUACCAAGCUCAUGGGAUGGGUUUGAGAGAGAAAAGAAAGGUAACAUUUAUGAUCCUGGCCAGGGAGAAGCCACAGCUUGUGAUGUCUAUAUGCCCUUGAAUACUUGUUAGAACAGCAGAAGGAGUCAAAGGAAAACCAGCCUUUAAUAUAAAAAGAAGCAGUUCAAAUACAGAGGGAAACUCGAGAGGCACACUUCUUCCUGUGCCCUGAGGGAGUUGACUGAGGAAUGUCUCUCCCCGGUCACCAAGAGUGCCACCGAAGAAAGGCAAAUUAUAGGCUUUUUCUUUCAAGGGGGAAGCAUUUAUUUUAUAUACUAUUAUAGCUUUAAUUAACUCAGAAAUAAUAAAAAUGGAUUUCUCUCAUUACUUUAUCAAUUAGUCAAAUACAGCCAUGAUUUGGAGUGGGGAGUUAAGUAUUGUUUUGCUGUCUUAACAUCGAUCAAAAUCAUUUCCUCUCAGAAAGUAAAGUCCUAUUUCGUAUGUACUGUAUUUAAUGUGCAGUUAGUUUCAAGCAAGGACUUUAUGCAGGGCCUCACUGACUCUCUCAGAACUGGCCAGGGAUUAAAACCUGCCAAGGACAGCCUCAUUUAAUUAUGAGACCCAAGUGCAGUGUCUUGUUUGGGUGGGCUCCACUGCCCCGGCAUGCGCAUUCCAACAUGUUUAGCAACCUCUGGAAGUAUUUAGAGCAGUGUUUGUUCUGCCUAAUUCCCCACGUAAAUGGUAAUUUCAUGGCAGUUCUUGAAAUAAACAUCUUUAAAUUUGAAAAUAUUAUGUGACAAUUUCCAUUAUAGAAAUAAAUGCUGAAAACUUAAAGUAAAAAUUGAGCCUAUUCUAAAACCUAGUAACAGUUGUGUAAAACAAACAAACAAACAAACAAACAAACAAACAAACAAACAAGUGAAUAUAUCUGCUUGUAGGGUUGGUCUUCAUUGGCUCUGCCCCAACCCUACUUCAUCUACAUAAAUUGUCCUGUUCUCCAUUGAAUGAACCCAGUAGUAGAUGACCAAGCAAGCAAUGCAUGGGAAGUGGCUUAGUAGGUCCCAAAGUUCUUGGUAAGGUAGAAGUGAUGUACUGAUUGCAUGGAAUGAGCAGCCCUGACCCCUAGUCUUAAGACUGUUCUUGUUACAGGAGAAAGAAAAUUGGGCUGGAGAGGCUAUGUUUUAAUUAAUAGAAGACUCAGUUUUCCACUGUUCCUCUUUGUACCACUUAAAAUAAUAUUCAAAGAGUAAUCAUGUUGUCUACUAAAAUGCAAAUUUAUGUUUUCAAAAACCUACUGUUUUUAGUUGAUUACAAUUAUUUGACCGCUUCAUACAUAUGAAUAAUACGUUCUGAUCUCUCUCUCUCUCUCUCUCUGUCUGUCUGUCUGUCUGUCUGUCUGUCUGUCUGUCUCUUUCAUCUUUCUCCCAUGCUUGCUAUCCCCUCCUCUGUACAGGUCCUUUUUCCACAUUAAUGUCUUUUGCAUCAUGUGUUGUGGCUCACUGGUUUUAUCUGGGAAUGCUUGCAUGACCAUGGCUUGGUACUGUCCCUUGGAGCCUGGUGAGCUCCUCAGUGGAUACAAGGCUGAAGACAAUGACUGUCCUUCUACCAGAAUUCAUCAGCAGGGCAUGAGAGGGCCCCAUGAGUGCCUCAGUGGUCUGUGAUUGACUCUGACAGUCUUAGUCUCAUGCUGGCCCAAUGCAGGCCUCAGCAGCUGCUGGAAGAUUGUGACUUCAGGGGCUGUGUAUGCCCUAAAGAUAGCAUACUAUAGCCUUUAUACUCACUUUCUUAUAUUCUUUAUAUUACAUAUACUCUUAUAUUCUUUCUGUUUCGGACUAAGCAUUCAUUUGUCAUUUAGUGCCCGAAUAGCAUGAGUCUGUUCCCUCCAAAGACAAGUUUCUCUGAUUAAGGCUUAGAGUUGCAUUUGUCUACGGGCAUAGAUAUAAAUAUUUAGAAGGGAAUUGGAGGCAUGUCAGUUUGGCUAAGCAACAGGAGUAGGUUCACCCCUACCCCCUGAGAGCCCAUAUCCGGGUAAUAUUGCUGAUGCCCCUUCUCAUCUGGCAGCUGGUGUGGAGAGAGCUUUUCAGCACUACCCUGGAAGCCAGCUAGUAGGAAGGGCGCUUCUACUAGCUCCGUUCCUGCUUGGUUUCCCUCUACCUUCCUAUCGAUGUGUACGGUGUCAACCCCAAUCAGAAUGACCAGUAUUAAUAAAAAAAGAUCAAUUGAUAGUAAAUGCUGGCAAGGUUGUAGGGAAGGGGUACUCUUGUUCAUUAAUCAUAUCAAUGUUAUAGAUUGGUGUAGCCACUGCAGGAUUCAUUGUGAAGUUUCCUCAAAAAGUUAGACAUAGAGCCACCAUAUGACUAAGCUAUACCGCUCCCAGCAAACUCUGUAUCAUAUCGCAGAGAAACUUGCUCAUCUGUGUUCAUUGCUACUUCAUUCUCAGUAGCUAGGAAAUGCAAUCAGCAUAGAAAUCAACAAACUAACGAAUGGUUAAUGAAAUGUGUUGCAUAUACACAAUGAGAUACUUAGCCACAAAAAAGGAAAUUAUGAAAUUUGAGGGCAAAUGGAUGGAAUUGGGAAAAUGUAUACAGAGAUGACCCAGGCUUAUAUGUAUACCCCAACUUCAAAGCCAGGAAACUUAAAUGGGGAUCCUGAGGGAGGGGGUGCCACUAGGGAGGGGAGUGAGUAGUGGUGUGGAAGUAGAGAGAGAGAAUACCAGAGAUGGGAAGGUGGGGCAGGAAUAAGGUGGAAGGGGUGGGAUUUGGUUGCAGGGAAGAAGAAUCAACUAAAGUCAAAGAUGCAAGUAUGGGAACCUGCUACUUUGUAGGUCAAGUCAGAACCUGUCUACAGAUGAGUUAGACAAGAAAUAUCCUGCAUGGCUGAGUGUGGCUGCUCCAAGAAGCCAUUAGGUCUUAAUCAAACCUUCAAAGGGCUGGAGAGAUGGCUCAGUGGAUAAGGAAACAGGCUACUCUUUCAGAGGCUCUGGGUUCAAGUCCCAGCACCCACACAACUACAACUGUAGGUCCAUUUCCAGGGAAUCCAAUGCCCUUUUCAUCCCUUCACUGGCAAUGUACACAUGAGAUGCACAGACAUGUGUACAGGCAGAACACGCAAAAACAAAACCAAAAACAAAUAAAUCAACUCUACUGCCACGUGUAGGACACUUCCUGAAGGGUUAUUGGUUCAGGAGGCUGAAGAGGCUCCCAAAACAAUACAGGCUUUUGCGGUCCUCUGUUUGUCCACCAGAACUAGAUGCUAACAUAAAAAUUCAGAAGUGAUCGUAUUUAUAGAAAUAGUGGUUAGAAUAUGAACAAGUUGACUCAUAAUGUUCAAAACAUUAUUUUCUCCAACUAGGAGCAAUACUCCCAUUUUUUUUGUAUCACUUUGUACUGUACAGAAAUUUGAUGCACAUUUUUUAAUUUGGCGUUUGCUAAAUGUUAGGUUGGGCUAAGAAUGAUCUUUCUUUGACUCGAACUAGUCUUUCUUUUUUCUUUUAAACAUUUUUUAAAAAGAGUUAUUUAUUUAUUUAUUUAUUUAUUUAUUUAUUUAUUUAAUGUAUAGGAGUACUCUGUCAUUCUCUUCAGACACACCAGAAGAGGGCAUCAGAUCCCAUUUAUGGGUGGUUGUGAGCCACCAUGUGGUUGCUGGGAUUUAAACUCAUGACAUCUGGAAGAGCAGUCAGUGCUCUUAACUGCUGAGUCAUCUCUCCAGCCCCCAUCAAACUAGACUUUCAGGUUACAAGUUAUUGUGGUCACUUUUAGAUGCAGAUGAUGAGGAAUACAAAGUAUACUGACUAAAAUUCCACAGCUAGGGAGUCUCCUAGUCAUGAUUCCAUUGCAGGUGUCCUGGGCACCAUGUCCUAGCUUCAAGUCUGACACUGGGAUCAUCUUCUCUAUGCAGAAGUGCUGGAUUUCGCCUCUUCCCCCAUUAUUAAAAAAAAAAAAAAAGCAAUAUUUUUCUGAAAAUUUUACACAUGUAUUUCAUAUAUAUAAAUAUAUGAUAUAUAAUAUAAUAUAGUUUAUAUACAUACAUUUUAUACAUGUAAACAACAUAUCUUUGUCAUACCCACUCCUCAUCCCUAGAAUCUCACCAUUACAUCUCCCUCCAAAUCUCAUGUCCUCCUACUUAAAUGAGUCAGUUAAUUAACUAACUAGUUUAUUUAUUUAAAUCCACCAAGUGCAGCCAGUGCUGUUCACAUUUUCAUAGAUAUGUGGUUAUCCAUUGGGAUGUGGCUAACCAUUACUUUUUAAAAAAUGAUUUUAUUGAGGCAAUUCUCCUAGUGUUCUUUGGUUGGCCUCGAAUUCCCGGGCUUGAGUACCCUGUCUCACUCAGUGUCCUGAAUUCUGAGCCCAUAGAUAUGCGGCACUGUGACUGAUGGAGGCCCGUCCCUAGAACUUUGGCCAUUUCUUUAAAUUAAAAACAAUCCACUUGUUACAUUGGAAAACUUGAGAUAUCUCAAUGAAGAUAUUUAACAUUCCAUAUGUAUAGAGGGAGCUUAAAGAUUUAAUGGUCAUGUCUGUUAUAAGCAGAUAGCCUAUUUAUUCUGCCAGAGAAGGUUUGUGUAUUUUAAAAGGUGCAAUUAGAAAAACAAAACAAAAACAAAAACAAAAAUAUAAAGCAAUGACAGUUUCCAAAACAAAAUCGACUAUUAAAAAAUUCAAUGUACCUACUGUCAAAUGCAAAUGUAUACAAAUGUUUUGAUGUGACCAUUGGUAUUAAAAUUAUGGAGGAGAUUAAAUGUCUUACAUACAUACUUUAUUGCAUCAGUUAAUUUAUCAGUUUUAUUCUUGAAAUAUAAUUAUAGAUUAUAGAUUUUCUGAGUCCAGCAGUAGAGAUUACUAUGGAACAGUUCUAUGCUUUAAAUCACAUUUGCUGGCUAAGAGAGUUUCUGAGGGGUGGGACUCUGCCUGUACCUCCUGGGGUGGUUCAGACUCAGGGUCUCAGGGUCUCAGGAGGCUGCAGUGCUCUCCUCUAAUGAGGUUCAGUGGGUGUGGUGAUUGACAGUCGUGCCUGCCUGUGGUUGUUCCUUGGUAGUCUCAAUUCUUUACCUCCUAGGUCUCUCCACAGGCUUUCCAAGUGCCCUCAAAAUGGCACUAGAUUGGCAUCAGAGUGAGCAAAUGAAAGGGAGGGAAGAGAAAAGCAGGAAGGAGGAGGGAGGGGAGAGAUGUAGGGAGGAGCUGGGGAGUGAGUGAGGAAGAGGGGGGAGAUCCAAGUAGAAGCUGUGGUCCUUUGAAACUCCAUCUUGGGCAUCUUAUAACAUAUUCUCUAGUCAGAGGCUGAGCCUGGUCUAGUGUGGGUGGAAGAUGACAAAGCAUACGGAGUGUGAAUGGCUAAGAGGUAGAGAUCACAGGGGACCAUCUUCAAGACUGAUUACCACAAGUGUGUCCUCAGAAGAAAAUUGUGUUGAUUAAACCCAAGGGUCUGGAGAAACACUGAUCAUACUGUACUCCACACACAAGAUACAUUAAUACAAAAAGUCUGGGGCUCAGGAGAUCCUUGUGGAUAAAUGCUUGCCUUGCACAUGUGAGGGGUUUGGCUCUCCAGAACUGGUAUAAUGUCAUGAGGGCAUGGGAUCUACCUGUACAGGGCAGACCCUGGAUCCCAGGAGAAUUCUGGGUUCCGUUGAAGGACCCUGUCUAAAAGUAUAUGAUGGAGAGCUUUUGAGAAAGAAAGAAUCCCAGUGUCAACCUUAGGCUUCCCCACACGGGAACACACACAUGCACAUAUGUGUCCCCCCUGCCCAACACAUACACAUUCACACCACAAUACACACACGCAUACACGAAAAAGCUUAAACUAUCAUCCCACCCUCUACAUGUAUAUUGCUUAGUGAUUUUAAAAGUUGAAUUGGCACAUGCAUAUAGAAUUUGUUGCAUCAGACUGAAAAAGCAAUUGUUAAUGGGGGAAAACAAAGAGUUCUAAGCUCAAACGUCUGCUGUACCAUGGCUGAAGCUCAGUGUUCCUAUCUAUAUGUAACACAAGACAAAAGAAUGCAGCUUAAUCGUGUUAUGAAAACUCUGGCCCGGUGGGGAAAUUAUGCACAGGGAGUUAGGAUUAUAGAUGACUAUGCAAAUAUUUACCUGUAGAAAACUUUCUAGAAAGAUAUAUUUAAAAAUUAAUGUUCUGUUAUGGUUCAGAAAAGAAUACCAGGCACAGUAGCCCUAUGUACUUAAAUCUGGCUGAAAGCAGACCUUGGGGACAGGACCAGAAGAUAGUGUAGUGAGGCUGAGGAUUACAUAGAUUAAUAUUUCAAUUGUAUUUUAUCUAAUAAUAAUCCAAAUAUUUUGAUCUCUAUUGUUUUAUGAGCGUAUUUGGAAUAGUAGGGACAAAUUUAUGUUUCCAAAACUAGGUUAGAUAGAGACUAGGACAUUAAUAAAAUGCUUUUAAUGUCAAGGAAAUUAUAAACAAGAAUCAGAAGCUGUUACUGGGCAAGCAGGUGAACUUGGGUUCUCCCUCCCACACGCUGGAGUUUGGUUAAAUUAACACCUGUGGAGUGAGAGUUGUUGGAGGGAAGUGCAAGGUCGUUACCAUUUUUGUUCUUGGCGCCUCUCAUCCUUCUGUUAACCUCAAGCUCUGUGGCUUGGUUGAUUUCCCAACCCAGACACCUGACGUACCAUGUCCAUUUUGUACAAACUCUCAUGGUUUCCUUUCACUUCUGCAAAUGGUUGUUUUUGCCGGAUUUUUUCAUUGCUAGUGAAAACAUACAUCCAGGCAGCUUCAUGCAACUACAAUGACUCCGUUGUAGUCAGGCCCUCUGAAACCAGGUGACACACACUGGGCAGCUUAAACAGUGUAGCUUUUGGGCCAUCCUCAAGGCUGUGUGCCCCGGAUGUAAGGACCAGCGAGACUGGCUCUUUCAUAAGGCUACCUGGGAGAUGCAUUUUCAUUAUCUGUCUUCGUGUUUAGUGAUGGGCUGAUAUUUUUCUUUGGUUCCUUGAGGUACCAAAAUGACUACUUCCAUGUUCACAUGGCAUUUAUGUAUAUGAGGCUCCAUUUGUCUGUUAUAUUUAUGCAUACAUUUUUCCUUUGUAUUAAUAUAUAGUCCAUAUUGUUUAGGACCCCUGUCUCAAUUAGGGUUUCAUUGCUGUGAAGACACAUCAUGACCAAGGUGACUCUUCAAAGGACAAGAUUUAAUUGGGGCUGGCUUACAGGUUCAAAGGUCCAGUCCAUUAUCAUCAUGGCAGGAAGCAUGACAGUAUCCAGGCAGGCCUGGCACUGGAGGAGCUGAGAGUUCCACCUCUUGUUCCGAAGGCAGAUAGGAGAAGGAAGACUGGCUCUCAUAUGUUUAUGAGGAUAUGGUCUCAUUGCCCACCACCUCAGCGACACACUUAUUACAGGACCACACCUCCUAAUAGUGCCACUCUCUGGCCCAAGCAUUUUCAAACAAUCACAACCCCAGUUAAUAACUGCAUUUUAACUGUAUUCGAAAAUGCUAUUUCCAAAUAACAUUUGGAAAGCACUAGGAGGUUAGUGGUUCAGCCUAUUUGAGGGGGGUUAUGGGAGGGAGAAAGACUCAGUAGAUAAACUCACCCUAAGACCAACACUCUUAUCAUCCCAGAAGUGACCACUUGCAGGGGUGUCCUAUCCGCUGUGCCUCAGGUCAGUCGUGAUGUGAUGAUAGCAGUUGCUGAAGUCUUCUUUUAAUGAAAUGAAUAUACACUUUCAGAAUCAGUACUGGAGGUUACAUGGAUCAGUUUUCCAGGAUAAUAUUUACUAAGAAUGUCUCGUUUUGCAGAGGAAGGGAAAUCACUUAGAAAGUAAGACUCCGGCAGGCAGACUGGAAGAAGGGGUGCCUUGUGAGAUCUAUGUUGGCCAUAGAUACUUUCCAGACACACUAUGUCCUCAGUGACUCGCAUGUAUGUAUGUAUGUUUUUCUGGAAUGUAUUUUAUUUCUUCUGCUUGUCCACAAUGCAGUGGGAUUCAUGUCUCACUGUGAAGAACUCACGAUGCUGCUUUUCAACCCAUUUCAAACAUUUCAGUCUGCAUGGCAUGUGCUGAGGUGUGCUCGGUGCUCAUGAGUCUUUAUGUGUUAGUGUCAGGCAUCAUCAGCAGGACUGAUGGUUAGCCUGAGAUAUCCCAUGUAGUAAAAACAGACAAACAAACAUACAAAGAAAGAAAAAAAUAAAAACAACUGCCUUUGUAAAAUUGGCCCAAACUAAAGCUACUUCAUACUUUCGUUUUAGAAACAGGCUUUUCUUGGUUAAAAAAAGUCAUUUCUACUGUUAUCUUUGAAGAUUGGGAUUCUAAAGAUUAAGCACUAGCUUGCUUCUCUCUCUCUCUCUCUCUCUCUCUCUCUCUCUCUCUCUCUCUCUCUCUCUCUCUCUCUCCAUACUUUCCCUACCUCUCUCCCACAUCAAAUCUCCACCUACUAUCUUUCACGGUUUCUAUGUAUCUCUGUCUGACUGUCUCUGUCUCUCUUACAUGCAAACACACACAUGGCCCUUCCUGAAAUCUGUCUACAGCAUAAAAACAAAACAAAAUUAAAAACAAACAAAACAGUUUAAAUCCUUGUAGUCACAAUUUUUUCUGUUUUAAUUAAAGUAUUCAACCCUGUAAGUACAGAUGGUCACCAAAGUUCAAAUGACCCACAGUAAAUUCAGCCAGUUGCCCCACUUACCCCUAGCCUCCUUAAAACCCAUGCUGUGUCUACUGUGGAAGUUGCCACAGGUCGAGGGAGAAAUAGCACCCUGACACAUCACAAAGCUUUCAUAUCUUUUCACUAACAUGAUUUAGAAAGGUCAUAGGGAACUGUGAGUUGGGGAAGGAGAGUGACAGGAGUGUGACAGCAAUGUUAACUCAGGGUGGCACAGAACACUUGAGCAAGAUACCCACCCAUUCAACUGAAACCAGUGAUGUCCUGUGUGCCUUGUCUCUCUGGACAGUGCGCGUCCUCUCCUGAAUGGUGUUGAGGACAUUCUUGCAAAUUAGUUUGAUCAAACAUUGCCCUCCUGCUUAUAUCUGAGGUAAGUGGACUUUGCUCGGGGUAUGGAGUAUGAGAGGGGUGAUGGUUGGGACCCUUCUGUGAUGUGGGGAAGAGGUUUUGAGAGUGUCCAGGAUGGAGCAGACUCUAAAGCAAGCAGUCUCAGGAUACGUUCAUCUGUUCAAGACCUUUGCCUUGAGUUAAUUGCAGAACCAGACAUGGAGAAGAGUGGAUGUUCUUUUAUAAACAGCUUCAAACAAGUUUUCCCCCUCAAUGACUUGUUAUCCUUGCUGGGGAUACCUGGCUCAUAAUUUUGCCUCAUUAAGAGCAAACAGGCACCUAAGCCUGAUCAGACCAAAUCACAAUCUGAAGUUAUUUGAGUUUCAUAUAAAAUUGUACAUUUUGAAUUUCAUCUGUUUUUUAGUUUUGGAUUGCUUGUAAGUGAAAAUCUAUUUGUUGUUCUACAAGCAACUUUUGGAUUUUGAAUGUCAUUUCUGCAGCAAGGACACCUAUACUCAAUAACCACUUCAAGUGCUGACAUCUGGAGCAGCUAGGGCAUACAUUAAGGGAAUGGAUUUUCAUUCUCUAUAUGAGAUCUUAUUUUCCAUAAUUUACUUUAUUUGAAGUCAGGGCCUGUUCUGUGGUGCACAGUGUAUGUCCUGCACAUAGUAAGUGGUCAGUUAGAGCUGAGGACCAAAUGAAUGGCGUUUUUUCUAUGGAAUGUACAGACAGAGGUGCCACAGCAGCACAUGCACGAGCUGAUGAGUGAAUUUGUUGUCAUCUAGGUCACAAAGGACGAUAUUUUGUAUUAUUAGCUUCCUUCUUAGUUUGUAACUAACUGAGCACCUGUGAUUGCCAGCCAAUGGACUGAGUGCUCUGUAUGACCCCAAAGGAACAGAGUGGAGGGUGGUGCGAAUGGGGGCACUGAUAGCACAAGCAACUCCAGGGUAUAGAGGAAGUAUUUUAGUACAGCAGCAGAGGAAGAGGAAUUCAGGUGUCAGGUAACACUGAAAUCUGAGUUUGGAAGCCUGACCUGUAGGACGGCACAGUCCCUCUGUGUCUGGAGUCUGGGGAUUUAGUAUCUGUGGUUCUAUAAGGAGGCAGUGUGACCAGAAAUGUUAAGAAUAAUGCAUUUUAAAAACAUAGUAUGCAUAUAUAUGUAAAGAACAUGUAUAGGCCUAUUUCCUUGUUAUUCCCUGAACAAGACCAUAUAGUAAUAAUUUAUAGGACAUUUACUUUCAGUUAAAUAUAAUAAGCAAGUAAUCUAUUGAGUAGAUAUGUUUUAACUAUACAGGAGGGUAUGUACAGUUCAUAUGCUGUUCUGGAAUUUGAUAUCUAUAAUGCAUCUCAGAGCUAAUGUCCUACAGAUUUAAAAAAUCAUCAUCAUCAUCAUCAUCAACAACAACAGAACUGUAUUCUUGAGUAAGGGAAGUGAUCCCAGAAUGGCUUAAGCAAAUACUUAUGCCUUUUAAUACUCUGGAGUAUAAAGGUAGGUGACUUGACUUUUACCCCCGAGGACAACAGAGGCCUCACUCUCGAAGUCCUCUUGCCUGUUGUCCUAUGGUUACCCAAUAUCUGUCUUGUCAAUCCUCAAAGCAUAAAGUGUGAAGCAAGGGGCUGGACAGCCACGUUCAAACUUUUUUCUUUUUCUUCUUUUUCUUUUUCUUUUUCUUUUUCUUUUUUUUUUAAUCAGAAAGUAAACUCUCUUUCCAAAGUUACAAACUGACUUUACUUCCCUCUCGAUGGUCAGAACAGUGCCACUGGCAAACUUUCCUUAUCAUUAGGCCAUGCAGACCUCAUUAGACCAUGUAGACUGCCGAAAGAAGAUCAGAGGCAAAUACAAGAGGAAGAACAGACUAAAGAGUUUUCUUUAGUGUUUGCUAUGAGAAUAAGUCUUGAUAGGUAGCGUGUGUGAUUAAUAAAGUGAUCUGUCAGAAUUUGGGAGGUGAUCAAUCAUGAUGUUUAGGUUUGUCUGUGAGAAGACACUGAUAGAGGGCAAGCUUUCUACUGCACAACAUGAACAGAAGUGCAGUGCAAAGCUGCAACCAUAGCUUGGGACACUAAGGUGGAGGAAGGCAUCGGGACACAGGACUCUCCAGGCCAUCAACCAAGGGAAUUAUCAGUCGUACUUACAUGGCUCCUGACCUCCAUUGGAGGAGGUGUGCAUUGUGUUUUGUUUUGUUUUGUUUUCCAUUUCCAGAAGGAAUUUGUUUUUGUCACUUCUUUCUGUCACGGUUGUUUUUGUUGACUUUGCCAGCAGAUCUAUAAGAAGCACCAUUACAACUUUUAAAUCAUAAAGCCAUUCUCAUGGAGCCAAAGGGAACUUGCAUUUCUCACUAAAGCACUAUAUAGAUAAAACCUUUAUUAUUUUUUAUAUUUUUAAUUUGACCUGUAUGAUUGGUUUGCUUGUGUGUAGGUCUGAGUGUUCUGCGAAUGCCUGGUGCCUGUGGAGGUUAGAAGACGUCGACCCUAUGGGAUGGGAGUCACAGGUGGUUGUGAGCUGCCACGUGGGUGCUGGGAAUAAAAUCUCCUGGGAUCCUCUACAAGAGCAGCCAAUGCUCUUAACCACUGAGCAGUCUCUCCAGCCAACCCCCAACCCAUGGUAUUAUUAUUAUUAUUUUUUAGUUACACAGUUUGAAAUACUGGAAUGUGAAGUACUCUGUCCAAAAGAAGAAUUCAACAGAUGCUAGAGUCCUGACAGCCAUUAUAGUAAACGAGAAGCAGCAAAUAGCUCUGUUUAUAUAGCUCACCUCUCUCUUACAGGUGAUUCUCUUCUUUGGUGGUUUACUGUUGGUGGUAUAUGUUCGUGUGUGUGUGUGUGUGUGUGUGUGUGUGUGUGUGUGUGUGUGUCUGUGUGCAUGGUGCAUGUGCACACACACACACACACACACACACACGCACGCACAUGCAUUUUGGCAAAGCCACUGUAGCCUUACAUUUAACGUUGCCCCACCUGGUCGUCUUGGGCACUGUAACUGAGGAGGGCCAGAGCAGUCAGGUCGAGGUGAUUUGCUACAUCACUGGUUAACAUUAAUGCACAGAAAUAUCCUUCAGGGUGUUUGAUAAACACAAAUUCCAUGGACCUACUGGUUUAUUAAGUUGCUUGCAAGGGGGAACUAGGAAUCUUAAGUGAUUUUUGACAGAGGAGGGUCCCAGAAUCCACUCUGAUAAAAGCCUGUAGACAGGAAGUGAUGUAUAAGGGGAACUAAGGCAUCUCUUAGACUAGGUCUUGGACAUCUUACCUGCUCUGGACUAAAAUCCUGGGACUCCAAAAUUGGAUGUGUGCACUCCAGGAAAUUUUUAGCAAGACUAAUUUUGGUUCAGAAAUGGAGUAAUGGAUCUUUUUUUUUAUUUAUUUUAAGACUUAUACUUCUUGAUUGUCUUUUAUAGCACAUGCACAUUAGUGCAAUUGUGCAUCUUUAUAAUUUAGGUGUAGACUUGGAUGCACAUAUGAAAGGCCUGUUGUAUAAACUGUUUUACCAAGAGUGCUGCAAGAUCAAAGAUGCUGAGAGAUCACUGCUCUAAACGACUGACAGGGCCUGAAUCCAUACUUCUGUCUAGCAGUGUGCAAACGUUUACUGUUCCUUAAUUGUUUUUCAUUUAGAGAUCAACACUACUCAAUGCUGCCUUCCUGAGUAUCUGUAUGUGGGGCAGAGCCCACGAUGAAGAGCAGUGGUGGGCUGUGCAGGGAAUGCUGGGGGGGGGGGGGGAGGGAAGCUGGCAUUUAAACAACCACCUACUCAGAAAUCAGCAGAGAAGAACGAAGAUAGCAUCAUCAGAGCCCAGGUCUCAGUCCAGCUGUUAGGAUUGGAUGAUGAACGGCCACUCAGCAAGGGUGUGAAGAAACCCACGUUUUCCAGGACUGUUUGUGUUUUGGCUUUAAGCCUGGGUUGAACUUCCUUCUUCUCUGUUCAUGGAAGACCUUUCCCUAUAAAGUUUUCCAUUCAAAGUAAAAUAAGAUUUCAUUGUGUUUCCAUACAUAAUUUCAUACUCUAAAAGAUACUUUAAGGUGAUGAUCACUAAAAUCAUCCAUGCUCCCCCUCCAAUUUGAAUACAGUCCAUUUUCCUUAACUAGAGCUGGCAACAAGGUUUUUGCCUCUUUCUAGUUUGAAUUUUUUAAACCACACUAUAGAACCCAGAAGGCAUGGGGCCAUUGCUAACUAGAGGUAUUGUUCCUAACACACACACACACAUACACACACACACACACACACACAUACACACACACACACACACAUACACACACACACACACACACACACACACACAGACACACAGACACACACACACACACACACACACACACACACACACACCACACGUCAUACAUCAUAUACAGCUACUGGUUUAAAGUUUGAGCUUUUUCUGUCAGUAUAGUCAGAUCUGUUUAUUUGUUUGUUUGAAACAGGGUUUCUCUAUAGUCCUGGCUGUCCUAGAACUUGCUCUGUAGACCAGGCUGGCUUUGAACUCAGAGAUUUACAUGCCUCUGCUUCCAAGUGCUGGGAUUAAAGGCAAGGCAUGCUCUACCACCACUUGGCAGUAUUUCCAAUCUUUUAAGAGCUACGUAGCACAGGUAGUGUGUCUCAAGCAAUGAGACUCAUUUUUGCUUCUUAUUUAAAGAGUUUAUUUCUAGAGUUUGGAGAUGUAGCCCAGUGGCACAUCUUCGUAUGUGCAAGACCCUGGUUUAGUUCCAAGCAUAGGAAUAUGUAUGCCUGUGUGGAUAUGUACACUCAUACACAAUGUGCACAUAUAUGUAUAUCAUCAUAAAAGCAAAUCAAAACCUAACCCAAGCCUCCAGUUUUUUAUCUCAGUGAUAGCCUCUGCCUCAGCAUGCUCAGUGUUAUAGUUGCAUGGGUUGGGGUCAAUUGGAGAGGACUGACAGAGGGGAAUAAUAUAGCAACCCACCAGUAACCUUUACCGCACCCGAGUGUGGCCGGCAUUGUGUCGGGCACUUGAUUGUCUGAUUUAGUCUUCACAGUGGCUCUUGCAGGCAAUGCUAUUACUGUUGUUUAGCUCACAGACCUGCAGGUAGGGGCUUAAAGACCUGGAAGACAAAUCUUGCCAAGAGUCAGCUCACAUGCUAAGGAAGAGAUUAGACCCAGAGGCAAAAGCUUUCCCCUGUGCUGCUGUGAGUGCAUUCUUCUUAGUUAAUUCCUAUGCAAUGACAGGGCCCUGGCCUUUUAGGAGAAACAUGCACCGGCCACCUUACCAGGAAGGAGCCCAGACUCACUGUUGGGAGUGAGCAGGGACAUAGGUCUGGUGUUUCCCUCGUAUUUUUCUUGUGCGGAGCCCCUGUAGUUCUGCAGAACACUGCUUCUGCCAGGGAGCUCUGUCUCAAGUGCAGGUCGGAAGGAAGGAUGCUUCUAUCUGGGGUGGUUAGCUGGGUAGAGGGAGAGCCAGAGCUCUCCCAGGAGGGAGCUGGCUCUCUGGCAUGUGAGGUGUUCAAUGAGUGUCUAGUUUCUACUCCCUUAGACUUGUUUUUUUUUCCAGUUAUUCUUAGACACAAGACUGUGUGUCUUGUUUUACUGUUUCCUACAAGAGAAUUGGUAGCUGCUCCAUGAGAGACUGGUGAGAGAGACCUCCCAGUGGCUGGCCGUUCUUUUUAUCAUAAGGCAACAUGUCUGGGAUGGCUGCAUUCUCUUUCAGGCUGAUUUCCUGGGCUCUGAGGUGAUCUUUAGUUAUGAGUCUUUUAGGAGUUUUGAGGUCAGGAAUCCUGUAUUUUAUAAUUUCUGAGACAUUGCAACAACCUAAGAACUAAUUGUUGAAUCAUUUAAAAGUGCCCUAGUGUUCAGAGCCUCAGUUUCCCUCAUCUACACGAUGGAGACAUACAGAUCUCCUAGCAACUUUAGAAGGAUGAAAUUGGUCAGUAUCUCAAAGAACUUAAUGUGGGGUCUGCCGAAUUGUCGGCAUUCAGUACACACACUAUCACUCUUGCUAUCAUUCUGCUCAUUUCUGAUUUCUUCUUUAAAAUACUCUUGGGUCUGCCACUUAAAGGCUGUAUACCCCCAAACAAGCUCUGGUCCUAAUGCCUAGGCUGAUGCCACUGUGAUGUCACUAAUGUCAGAGCAUGGUUGUGAGAACUUAGUAAGAUUCAGAAGUAAUAGUCAGGUGUAUGUAUGCAUGUGUUGCUGAGUGAGACAUGUUGUUUCAUUUAACACUUGUAAACACCUAAGGUAGGUUCAUUGUCCUUAAUGUAUACUACGGAGCAGUAGGGCUCAUGGUCUCAGGUUAUAUGAGGAGUCUCAGCCAUGUCUGUCUUAUAACAACCUCUGCACUUGACACAUCUGAGGGCAUUUCAAAGGACCAUGCAUAUAUGUGGGCUGUUAUUAUGACAUCUUUAUUUGGGCCAUAGCCUGCAAUAGAGUAUAUUCCCAAUUUGCUCUGCAUUAAAUUGAAAUAAACAUUUAAAGAAAUGGCAUCUUCCCAAGCCUGUCUUUGCUUUAAAAUUUUCAUACUUUUUUCUCAUGAUUUCUAAUCUAAGAGUAUAAAAAUCUAGGAUUUCUGAGACAAGGAAAAAGUAAGCCUGUGUGGCCAACACAAGAGGAAGUUUUUGUGUUACAUUGCCCAAUUUAUAGGAUUUGAAGUGGAUAUUUAGAAAAGCAAUUACCAGGCUAGCUAAGGUAUAAGAUCACCCAAUUGAUUUGUUACGACAUUGUGUUUUUAAAAUAUAAGGAGUCUAUUAUGCCAGUUUGGAGGCAGCUUGGUAGUUUCUGUGACUACUAGAAUUUGACCAGAGGAUCACAAUUUUGGGACAUCACAUAUCUGGCUAAAACUACUCUGUCACUGUACCUUCCUCUGAAGUAUCUUAAUUCAGAGCUAAUACAAGAUACUAGGGGAAUACACUCUUAGCCUGAAACAGUGUUUUCCUGGUAGAUCCUCCCUUGCUGGAAGCCUUCCCAGAGAUUAUCGGAGCUUCAGAGUCCAUGCUUACUGGGGCUUUCCUAAGUGACAAGAGGAGGUGCUGUCUGGUGUUCCCAGGCUGGUGGAAAGAUCUGACUUAGAAACUCCGAGAUACUAAACAGACCCUACAUUUUGAAUUAGUAUUGAUUGACAAAUCUCUAUUCAAUGUAAACAGUUUGAAGUAAGGAUUGCAGUUUUAGAAUUGGAAUUUGCAUAUAGGAAUAUUCUCCUAUGUGAUAUAAUGAUUAACUUUCACAGUAAUCAAAAUAACAAAAGGGGCUAUUAAUUUUUUGUAGUGAAUUGUAUAUUAGACUACUGAAUUGGGAAUAAUUAAAUUGUAUUUUGUUUAGGUUUUUCUUUUCAAAUGUUAUGCUUUCAAAAAGCGCACAGUUCAUAGUGUGAAUAAAAUUCACGGACGAGUAUCAAGGGCCUGUGAGCCCAGGAAACUGAGUUUGGCAGUGCUAAUUUGUAUUAAAGUUGUUGUUGCAUGACAGCUGGAAAAAGAUUUAAUGCUUGCCACCUGAACCAAGGCACGGAACAUUGGUUUCUAUAACUGCCAUGAAUUUGAAUCGAGGCCAGGAUCUCUAAAUUUGAAAUAAACUGAUUAUUUAUUAUUAUCUUGAGAGAUGAUACAGGCCACUUAUGUUGUGGAAGGUAUUUAGAAAAAGUAUUUCAAUUUAAUUUUUUUGUAAUUGCACACACACACACACCACAUGGGCACAUAUGCAUACACAUGCAUGCAUGUACAUGUACAUACACACACUCAUACACACAAACAUGCACACACAUGUACACAUACACAGGAGUGCAUGUAUACUGUACACACGCAUGCAUGUACAUGUACACACAUACAAAUGCACACACACAAGUACACAUGCACAUACAUGCACACACACACAGGAGCAGACACACAGACACACACACUCCUUUCAAAUGGCUAGGCUCUUCAGCAUUAUCUGUUUGUAGUGGCUCUGGCUGUCAUACACUGACAGGGAAGAACUGGGAAAGCCAUCCACUGUGUACCAGGAGCUAGCCCUGGGCUUGCAGCAGCUUCAAGGCUAGGCAUUUCUACUUUUACCAUGGUGGAGGUCUCUUCACCAGGGCCAUCAUUUCUCCUGCACGUCACUGUGGUUCACAGGAUUACAAUGUCACUUUAGUAAUUUAGAUUUUAACCCAGCCACCCUGCUGUGCUAAACUCUUCCAGCAAAUCCAGAUGCAAAAUCCAUUCAUAUGCUAGGACAAUAAAAAUGAUGACAGCAACAAUCAUUCAUAGUCUACAUUUGCAAAAAAAAUCUUCAGUUGAAAGGGCUUUAUAAAGGGAGCAUGUGUCUGAGACUACUGUAUGAAAAGUGAUCUUUGAAUCUAAUAUGGAAAUGAAAUGAAUCCACCUCUGGAGUGAAACAUGGAGGCCAUUUAAUAAGUUUUUAACUAAGCACACAUGUCUCUGUGUAAUAUAAGUUUGCUCAUAUACUUUGUAAAUUGUAUUUUACAUUAAAAUAACAUUUAAACUUUAUUCUUACUGAAAAAUAAUUGAUUGGAAAAAUAUUCAGAAACUAACUGGCUAAACAGUAAAAAAAAAAAAAAUAAUAAUAUCUAUUGAGCCUUUCAGUCAAGCCCAAGAGUUUCCGUUAAGGUACACCAUAGGCAUCUUUCAUUUGUAGAACACUGAGCCUCUUUGCAGUCUUGUGGUGAGACAGUCAGUGUUUCAGCAGCACCUCAUCUUACAGGGCAGAACCAGCAUGCAUUCAGUACUGCAUUGCACUAGUGCAGACAACCCCAAGCCAGUUCCUCUUCUCUUCCCACUUUCUUCCUGAGUGACCUCAUCUAUUUCUAGAGUGUUGAAUAGCUGCGCUCUGCUGAUGACCCAUUCUGUCUCCUAGCUGCUUCCCAUCUCUCGCUCCAGUACUUAUGAAGUUAAAACUGGACUAAGAGUUCUUCAUCAUGUUCUGCUUUCUCAUUCCACCUCACUUUCAAUAUAAAUCACGAGGUCCUCACAUUCCAAACUGAGAUGUUCCGUAAAAUAAUCCCUGUCUGCACUUCACAGAGCACUCCCCGGCGUCAUGUUCUUUGCAUUCUUCAAUUAAGCAGUAUUGGAGGUAGUAUCCCCCUUCCCAGAGUCCGUUAGCUCCUGAAUGUUUGCGACUAUAUUUUGCAUAUAUCCUUACAGCUGUCCAGCACAGUAUGUGAGGUAGGCGGUGGGCAUGUACCACUAAGUAUAUGAUAAAUAAAUAAAAAUAAGGUAGUAUUUUUUGUAUUUUCUUAGAUUCUAGAAAUUCUUUUACAUAUUAUUUCACCAAGUUGCGUAUUUGCAUAUGUAUGCUAUAUUUUGAUGGAAUGAUUUAUUACAGUCCACAGUUUAUAUUCCUAAUUUUUAGGGGCGGGCCAUUGACUUAUAUGAAAUCCUUCAUUUGGAAAUGAAUCCUUUCUUGAAAUGAAUACAGCUUCAUAGGUUUGCCCUUACUUUUUAUAUUUCCAAUAACAUUAUGUGCAAUAUUUCUCUGUACAAAAGAGAAAAAAUAUAUGCUGGUUUUUAUUGCUAAAGUCUUUGCCAGAUCCUAUAAAUUUCAGCCUUUAGGUUGAAGCUAUAUGAUAUAUGUGAAGCAUCCUUCCCCAGUAAUGGCUGAAUGUCAGUGGUACCAUGCUGAAUUUGGAUAUUUAUAAAUGCUUAGUGAGGGAAAUAGACUCAUUAUAUAUUAUACAGGAAGAAGAGUUAUUUAAUACCACUUGGUUUUUAAAUGAAGUCUGACUACACACAUCCAUAACAUCUUAUACAUAAUUAUCAUCUCAUUCUGCAAAUGAGUUUCAUAGUUUUUUAGAUGACAAUUAUUUUUAUGGCUCAUUCUUUUAAAAGUCAUAUCCUUUAUUAUUAUUAUAUUCACUUAUCGAGUAUACAUGUAGCUGCACACAGGGCUGAGGGAGGCAUGCCUGCUGGUGGUAUUUGUGGAGGUCAUAGGACAACCUGGUAUAGUUUGUUUUCCCCUUCCAUCACAUGGGACCUGGGAUCAAACUGAUGUCCUCAGGCCUGGUGGGAAGUGACUUUACCUGCUGAACCAUCUUGCUGACCUGAAUGACUUUAUCUUAGGUUUGUUUUUCCUUCUUGUAUUUGGCCUUGAUGUUUGCCAUGGGGUCUCAGCAUAGCCCAGGCUUUCCUUCAGUUCAUGAUCCUCCUGCCUCAGCAUCCUGAGUGCUGAGAUUAUAGACAUGAGUCACCAUGUCUGAUUUUUGCUUAGUUUUAUCCUUGCUAUACCUUAGAAUUUGGAGUGAAAAAAUGGAGCGAGGAUUCGUCUCAUCCUGCUCCUCACGUAUCUUCCACAUGGAUCCCAGUGAUGUAGUCACGGAAAGUGUAUCAACUUUUUAAUGUGUAUGCAAUGAGAAGACUUUCAGAUAGGAUUAGAUGUGUGAACAGGAAUGAUAAACUUUUCUUAACAAAAGAAUGCUAGUUUGGUUCUUUGAUCUUUGGGGAUGCCCAUCGCAGACGAGUAACUUUCUAAGUACUUGCCUGUCAGCUUUCCAUAGGCCAUUCUUACGUCAUAUUUUGAAGGACAAUUAGAUCGAAAGCAGCUUAGGUCUUGUAGCAUUCACAAACUUUUCUGUAGCAGUGGUAUCAGUGAGUUGAGGAGGCCUGGGAUAGGAUUUGCACGUGCAUUUUUGAGAUGGGAACUUCUUCAAAAAACACAAUGGAACCACAAUAAUGUCCCCAUUGUUCAUUCUUAACAGAAGACCCAUUUUCUUUCAUAGGGUGGAAAUAGUUGACAUUAAUUAUCCUCAGUCAUGUGAAUAUUCUGUGAUUUUUUUUCCCCCCACUGUCUCCUAAAAGACUUUGUGGAAGGAUGACCUCUGAGUCUGCAGCUCUGGCUUAGUCAUUCAGAAGUUCUGAAGCUCAGGAUCCGAUUCCUAAAAAUGGCUGCAUCGAGGGAUUUCUCUGAUUGGAUGUCAACCCCUCAAGUCCAGAGUAUAGUGUGCAGAAGGAUGUAAAUAAUUUGAGGACCAAUUUAUGUCGAUUUCCUUUUAAUGGGGGUUCUUUAAAUUAUGAUAAUGAUUAUCGCUAAAAAUUUAUGGGGGCCAUAUGUCCUGGCAUGUCUAAAUAUCCUGUCUUAGCAAGGCCUGCUUAUCGUCACCUAAGGACACGCUGGUGAGGAGGAAGGCACAUCUUAGUGGUGGGCUUGACAAUAGAGCUCUCCAUGACCUCUGUCUUACGUUCGUGGAAUUUAGGCCAUGUUUGAGUAGAUGCUCCAGUGCGCUGUAGAAUCUGUUGGGCUUUGCUUUCUAGUCGGUAACCUGCAGGACAGACAUCCACACAACACAAGCACCACAGCCAGGGACUGCUUAGGAGGAUUCGCCUUGCCUGCCGUGUUAGCUGUUCCUACGCAAAUCAUAACCCCCAGUGUUUCCUGCAGCAUUUGUCUAAUGCCAAAGAGACACGUUUUGUCUAGAAAACAAAAACUUCUGUUAGACUUUUAGCUUCUUUUAGACUUGACUUUCUUUUGGAAUUUUCGGUGGAGGCUUUCUGAGGAAGUUUUUGGGUUUUUUUUUUUUUUUUCCACGUUUAUUUGCUUGUUUCUACAUAUGUCCAUGAAAGAUUGUAUUUAUUGAACAAAUGAAAUGGAACUAAACUCCCAAGAGAGGGCAUGCCAUGGAAGAGGAAAGAAAUCAGAGGCUGAGAUCGGUCUCAAGGGCUCACAGGAGGACAAGCAGUCAGCCUACGUGUGUUUCACAAGGAUGCUCAGGUCUUAGAGUCGGGGCCUGGAUGUCAGCAGCUGAGUCUCCAUAAUGCAUGGGAAGGAUCUAGGAGAAGCUUUACGGUUCUGUCACAGCAUGGCUGGUGAGAGAAGGUGGACGGUCGUGAUCAAGGGCAGAUGGCUGUGAGUGAGGCAUCAGUCAGAAAGUCCACAGUGCUUCAUGAUUGACGUGAGUUAACCUGUCAUUCAGAGAGGGCAUAGAGUGGGCAUUCUCACAGAUACCUGAGUGGACAUGGAAUUCACCGGGGAUUCUGAACUCUGUGGAAUGCCACGCCCUUUCAGAUUGCCACUGUGUAGCGGUAGUUUGGGGACCUCACUUUCAGAGACACGAGCAGGGGGCUCUGAGUUGACAUCGCUCACUUGCGUUUGUAUGAUUUGCAGGGAGCAUAAGAGCCACGGGCUUUCCUCCCCACAAAUGUGCCCACACUUAAGCUUAUGUUUUAGGAAAAAGGUAGGAAUGUUCAGAAGUCUUAACCCGGGUUCCGCUGAGAAACGCAUAUGCUAAUAAGGAGAAAGGGGAAUGUGUUCUGUUCAAUAGAAAAUAUUUUGGCUAGACUACCGGGUGCCUACCUUGCAAGGAAUCACAGAUAUUUGGCAUGUUCAGAAAAGCGUUGGACGGGGCUGAUUUGUUCUGACCAUCAGGAAGCUGUGGAGCCAGGACCCGGGGAGCCGUCUGUUUGCACUGGUUUAUGGUGCUGAGGUCAGUGGAGAGGGAGGGUUUUGUUUCCAUGACUGCAUGUCAGUAUAUUUUUAAAAUGUGACCUCCAUCUAAAGGUGAUACUAACAAUAAUCAAUUCAUACAUGAUUUUGAAAUAUUAUUUGGUGGGGGCCCAGGUUGGAACUAUCAUCUUGAGGGGGCUACUGAGUCGUGGGCUCACCAAGUUUGUGGUGGCACUGCCGAGGAUUGAGGGCAGGGUCGGACAUUUUUUUCCAGCCGGCCUGUGGGAAUGCAGGUCUCCCCUCCAGAGUGGAUAUGAUUUUACUCGAUUUUUUUUUUAAGGUGGAGAAAUGAAUGGGGCAUGCAUUCAUGUUUUUCACCUAGGCCAAGUGGAAGACUUUGCAGUGAUGUAACCCAUUAGGCUAGAGAAGCUUUUCUGUGCACUGCCCCGCAGGGCCGAGAGUAAGUUAUGAAUGCCGCACUGUUCUCAGCCCAGAGGGCCUUGCCGGGAAGAGAGCGGUGUGCCUGGGCCCCAGCUAUUGAGAAGAUGCCAGUCAGGAAUGAAAACGUCUUUCAUGAAACUAUAGCUAACUUCCCUGUGACACAUUACCAUAAAGCAGGGAUAUUUUAAAAACCAACAGUCUGAAAAUACACACAAUACUUCAUAAAAGUCGGAAGGCUUUAUGUUCGAGGGUGCAUGUUGAGUGACUUAAAAAUAGACAGGUUUGUGUCAGAAUGCUUUUGAGGGAAUUGUUCUAAGUAGCUUUCCUCCUCGCUCCCUCUGUCUGUUCACAGCUCUGGUUUCUUUUGCCUUUUGGUUGAAAUUACAAAAGAUGUCUUCUGAGACAAACGCUGGCCCAUGACAUCAGGACGAAGGAAUGCUCGGCCUGGCCCAGCGUGUGUAUAGCAUCAGCUGCUUAACAAAAUGUUACAUUUUCCAGGGUGGAUUUAAAAAUUCCGGAGGAUCCCUGAGUGUAGGGGCUGAGUUCAGACAGACUGUUACAGGAGCUCUUGUUAGAGGCAUGCCAAAAUGAGAAUUUUUUUUUACGUUAAUAUUACAGACUUCCUACUCCCCUCCCCCGAAACAGAAAAAUGUACUGUGGUCUGUAUAAGACAUAUGAUAAAAAUUGAUGGCUGUAACCACAGUAGGCUAGCAUAGAAUUUUAAAUUUUGAAAAAAUUAUAGAUGUUACAGAUGUAAAUUUGAAUACUAAAUUUUUGAUUUGUUUUUUGAGUUAAAUUUUGUGGACUUAUAUAACUCAUAUUCAGUGAGAAUACAUAAAAUAAUUUUAAUUACUCUUUAUUAUUGUUAGGUCUUACCAGGACUUAAUUUGGAACAUUCCAUAUCAUUUCCUGUAUUUGGAGAGCACAUAAACAGUUUGACCAUAGUUCAGCAUAUGCAUAAAAUAUUUAUUUUUAAUUUUUAACUGUGAAUAUCCAGUUAAAGUUCGUUAUUGUUAUUAAUCUCUACUUCUACAUCAGCAGAAGAAAAUGGAAAUUCUUGAAAAAUUUGCAACAAGUACAAGUUCAAUAAAAUACAUCAAGAUGUCAAUAUAUAAACAGUUCAAAUCAGAAAUCAGAUGUAAGACAUCUUUCAUUUGGUGAUUUAUUGCCAAUAUAUGUAAAAGUUAUUAUAGGAACUAUAUGCUGCUAGAUUCUAUUAAAGUAUAAUUAGAGAAACUAAGCAUUUUGGUAAAGCCGUGUGUACCAAGAACAGUCUGAAUGGAUCAAAGGAUUUCUUCUCACAUGGGAAGAAAGAACAUUAAACGCUAAGGAAAAAGAAGGCAAGAAUAAUGGUCAGCCCUCAUAGGCUGAGCGUGGGUGGGGGCUGGCCCUCAUUGGCUGAACAUGGUAAUGGCUGGCCCUCAUAGGUUGAGUGUGGGUGAGGCAAGCUGGUGACGUCUGUCCUAUGUCAGUUCACAUGGAUGCUGCUCCUGAGUUGAAGAGGGGAGCUGGUGAGAAGGAAGAGUUUUCCCACGUAACGAGACCUGGAUGCCUCGGAAUUGAUGACAGCUGUCGAAAGUCAACCUUCAUGUGAUAUUUAGAUAUGCUUUCAGGACAUGGGGCUAUUUAGAAAUAACAUGAAGACAGUAGACCAGACUUGGGGGUUUGCCCACUGAUGCUUUUGUAUUGAGGACAUGGACAUAGCUGUUCUGAUAUUAGAACCCAAUGGGAGGAACUUGUGGAUGUAGAGGGUAAAGGGGAUACCUUAGCAAGGUUUCCGGAUACAUUCUCCAGCUGACCUGCAGCUUGUAGACAUCUACUCCUUAGUCGUCUUACUACAAGUUAUUUCCUCUACAAAUGUUUGCAGUCUUCGUAAGUAUAUUAGAGAGCCUUUGGGCAUUGUAUUGUUUCUCAUAGCAUGUGGUACUUUGGUUAUCAGAAUGAAGCCUUCCUUGUUGAGCAUUCCCCACAGCCAGGUGGAGAUGUAACUGCAAAGAUGAUUUUUCAUCACUCUGUAAAACUGGAUUUUUCCAGUUCUCAAAGAACACUUACAUUUCUUUAAUGUUAGAUUAUAAACUCUAAUUCAUUCUGAUAAUGGUUUAGAAAUAGACUCUUUGAAAUAAGGAUUGCAAUGUACUAACAGAGGGGCUGUAGCGACUCGCAGACGUGGUGAGGAUCCAGACUUUCAGCUGCUCUGUUACUGUCUGAGGAGACUGGUGAAAUCUGUAUUUAUGUGAUGUUUUUCUUACAAGGACUCUGGAGGUUACAGACAGUGGUGUGUCAUCAUCUUGAGAUGCCACCAAUCAGUAGGGAAGCAUGGUGGCAACAACAUGGAGCCGAUACGCACCCUUCUGUUGACCGUGCCGUUACUGAACUCCUGUUACAUAAAAGUUCUCUGCGUUCUAAUCUACCACAAUCCACAUUUGUGCUCCCCAAGGCCUUUCAAUUUAUAUUUUCCUGUAGGUAGUGAUUCCCUGGUUCCCUAUCAUGUAGUCAUUUGCAUGCAUUGAUUGAGCACCUGCUGUAUAAUACACACUGAGCUGGUGGCUAGAGAUUGCAGGUAACCAGAUGAGACACUGCACAUCUGGGAUCUCCUUGCCUAAAUGUGGGAGGGCCAAGUGAAGACGGACAAAUGUGUAGAGUAACAUUGGCUGCUAAUGUGAUACACUGGCCUGGUCAUGUGUAGCUAGAGGUACUGUGUGAGCCUAGGAGUCAGGAGCAGAUGUCAGGGGUGAGGGCACCCUUUGACUAUUGAAGUUGGGGAAGUCUCUGGAUCUGUAAAGUGAAGCUGGGGGGUCGGGGGUGGGGUGGGGAAGUUAUAGAGAAAUCUACAGAGGCUGUUGUGACUGGAUACACGUGGUCAAAUCCCAGGAGGGGAGGCUGGAAAGCGGUCUUUAAAUCUUGCAUUUCACAUAGUGGAUUUGGGUCUUUUAUACUUUUUUAUCACUGUGCUCAUGAAUUGAAUUGAACUAAAAGAACUAGAAGGAUCAGUGUGUGUGUGGUGAGAGAGCUGGAUAGACUUUAACAAGAUAACUCCAUUCCUAAUACAGAAGAGACAGGAAGGAGGGGUGGUCAGAGACAGGAGACAUCAGUGCGGGGCCACUGCAGCUCUCUGGGAAGGAAGUGUGCCCUGUCCAGAACAGUGAGCAAGGAGACAGGCUUGGCAGAUAACAGGAAGCAAAGCUACAGCAAUUAAUCACCGGACGUGAAGGGCGGAGGACAGGCAGGGGCCGUGAGACGGGAGUCUGACUCUGUACUGUGCUUCUGUUCCCUGGCAUGGGGAGUGCAAGGAAAUGGACAGAUUUAUGCCAGAAGAUGUGAUGAGUCUCGCUUUGGAUAUUUAGAGACUGAAGCCUCCCAUUAGAAACCCAAAAUGGCAGAAACCCAAAUAUUUGCAGACUAAUCCAGAGUAUGAAAAUAAUUGAAUGUAUGCGAUAAGCAAAUGCUUGCUGAAUGAUUGAAUGGAUGCGUAGAUUAGCCAUCAAUUCAUUACAUUUUAAAUGACUAUUAUUGACUUGCUGUAAUUAUUUUAAAAACCAUAAGGCACAAUAGGAAGCAUUCUAAUUAUUUAGAAGUAGCAGAAGUAAUUCAUUUUGUUGCUUAAAAAUUUCCAAAUAAGUUAAUGUGGCUCCGCUGGACUCUUAGAAUUGAUUAGCGAGAGUGCCUUCUCUCCUCACUACCCUUGCUGCUUGCUGCUGGAAGGUCUUUGUAACAGUACAAGGCUACCAGUUCGAGGAGGGAAAGAGUUAAAACUAGGGAGAUAAUUUCUCAACACUCACUGGAGGAUUAAUCCCUGGGAUUAAAAUACAAAGCAUUUAGAUGAGGUACUGGCCCUUAAACCCUUGUUUAUAUCCCUGUGAUGGUGGUGGGGAGCCAAUGGAGGUAGAAUUCUCCCCUCCAGCUCCUCAAAUAAUAAGGAUUCCUUUGAUCGGUGGAUAGUUACUUAUCACUUCUUCAUUUAUGGCACUCAGCUCACUCAAAACAAUCUGGGCUGUAAAUGCUGUUCCGUACAUUUAGCAUUAUAAAAUACUCUUCGGGGUUUGUUAUAAACACUCUUUGGGGGGUUCACAGGGAUUUGGUGCUCCUUGCCUUAGUAAUAGGAGUCUAUCUAAGUCGGCUAGUUAGCUUAGCCAACUCGGAAGUGAGAUGUCAGAACUCACAGCGCAGAUCUGUCUCUCUUGGAUAGACUUGCCUGAGCCACUUUCCUGAGGCUGGGAAGAUCAGAAUGCCACAUUGUUUGUUUACAGUGAGAAGUGCAGACAUACAGACAGAACCCUUGUGUCUCAGUCAGGGUCUCUGUUCCUGCACAGACAUCACGACCAAGAAGCACUUGGCGAGGAAAGGGUUUACUCAGCUUUUCUUCCAUACUGCUGUUCCUCACCAAGGAAGUCAGGACUGGAACUCAAGCAGGUCAGGAAGCAGGAGCUGAUGCAGAGGCCAUGGAGGGAUGUUCUUUACUGCCUUGCCUCCCCUGGCUUGCUCAGCCUGCUCUCUUAUAGAACCAAGACUUCCAGCCCAGGGAUGGUCCCACCCACAAGGGGCCUUUCCCCCUUGAUCACUAAUUGAGAAAAUGCCUUACAGCUGGAUCUCAUGGAGGCAUUUCCCUAACUGAAGCUCCUUUCUCUGUGAUAACUCCAGCUUGUAUCAAGUAGACACACAAAAUCAGCCAGUAGACCUUGUCUUAGCCAUUCCCAGGCAUUCUCUUCCAACAUGGAGAUUUGGGAUUGCACUCUGAAGGUGCCUAGCGAAUGUGAAGUCAGAAUAGGGUAGCUGCAUAACUGUCGGUAGCCUGGUCUUCCCAGCUUCAGGUGGACUCUACACUAGGAGCGGGGACCUCAGAGGUUGCAACUUAUGGCUGAUCCUACCCAAGUCAUGCAUAGAGGGGCAGUGCCGUCUUUAUCUUUGUUGUUUUCAUGUUCUGAAUCAUUCUUAUAGUUAAGGGAUCUCUGUACCAUAUAGGUUUUUGUGUGUGUGUUACCAAGUAAUUCUUAAAUCUUGAUGGCUUAGAGACCAUUCUGUUCCUAUCAGAUACCCAUUUCACCUCUGAUAUGCUAUUGUCAUGGUAGAAACAUCAAAGCAAAUUUAAUCUCCCGAUGAUGGCACUGUUUAGCUCCCAGGUACUGCCAGUGUCUAGAGCUGAAGUCAUGGAGAUAAUUGGCAAUGGCUGGCUCUCUGCCUGAUACAAAGCUUGUGGUGGAGAUAUUGUUAUAGUAACACUUGCUUUAUCAGUACUGUAUGGGAGAAGGUAGGGAGCCUAGGAGGUAGGGCAUCCAUGUUUGCUGAGCCACAUUAAGGCAUAAACUAAAGACCUAAAACUUCAGACGCAGAUAAAUAAAUGGUAUAUAUACUGACAACUUAGAAAACAACACAUGAAACUAUGGUUACGUUCAGGAUGAUGCAAGAGUCCAAAGCUUUAUGUAACCGGAGGGAUGAUGAUGCUGAUCAAAUACAGAGGUCAGGCUGUGUGUUUGUAAAGGUAAAUUACAAUUCUCUGAGACAUAUUGCAUUUAUACUGGGGUCUCCCUAAUAAGGUAGAAAUACCCCACAGGCCCUAACAGCACUGGAGCUCACGUGAAAGGCAAGAAAAGUGAACGUAGGUUAGUCGUGACUGAGAAGUCCUAGAGGUUUGAGAGUAGCAAGAACAGAUUCUAAGAAGGAAAUGAAAGGAACACUUUCAAGGAGACUGCUGAAGAGCAGCGGCAGGAGAUCUGAGGAAGUGAGUCGUUCUAUGAGGGAUUGUAGCCAAAUACUGUAAAAUCACGGCUCUGUGGGUGGGAAGACCUCAGCUGGCGAGAACUCUAGAGGAAUUAUAGCCAACUGCAUACAGCGAGAAACUUUUGUACCAGAGACAACCACUCCAUUCCACACCAGUGUCAAAUAUGAUGGAAGAGCCUUUUUGCCACCACUUUGUAUUUUGUGUCUGCCUAAGUUAAGCUUCUUUUCCAGUGUAAAGGGUAGAAGGUCUGGCCUCUGCUGGUUGUGCUUUCAUUUCCCACCGUAAACGAGCCAUUCUCUAAUGAAUUUGUACAGCGCUUCAUUUGUAAUUUACAGUGAGAUAGUUUGAAGCGAAAUAAAAGCCUUAGAAGAGUUAAUGCCGCUGCCUUUUGGAGGAACCUGGCAUCUUCAGGGACGCCCCAUCACACACCGUCCGAUUGUGACGUCUGAAAUGGUAGCAGGAAAUCUUCCCAGUUCCUUUUGGCAUUAUCACAUGCUCUGAUUAAUUAAGCACUUUUGUUUACAUAAACAGGAUUUUAGCUUAUCGGAGUCCAGAAGGAAUUUGAAGAGGAGGAUUUUUUAAGUUGAAUUAAUUGCCUUCUGCCCCGGGGAAAAAGCAGCAGCAAAUUUGCAGAGAAACCCUCCUCGGGAUUUUUCGAGUUCAAAGGUGAUGGGAGUCAGUCUGGCGAUCACUGGAGGAAGGGGAGGCAGGUGUGGAUGGGGGGGCCGGGAGAGGAAGUGAUGUGUCAAUCUGUGUGAAACAAUGUGUCACAAGCCCUGUGAAUACUGUUCACACACAUGCUUAUGUUGGAUUUUAAUGUACACUGCUGAGAAAAGAAAGCAAAUGCUCGUGGCGUUCCAUGGUACCUUGUUAUUCCAUCUAACGGAACAGACACUUGCCAACUGACUUCCCGCCUAUUAAAUUAAUACCGUGUUAACGAAAAUUAAGAGAGGCUAAUACUGCUCACACGUAUCCUUCAGCAAAAGACAAAAAAACCAAACAGACCCAUAACCAAAGUAAUUAAAUAUACUAAACCCUUGUAAACUAACGAUUAGAGAACAAAAUAUUUUUCUUCGUUAAGAUGUUAUUGUAAAUGGAUAAACUGUUUUUAUAAAACCGUAAGUGAAAUCCACAAGACAACGUAGUAUUGGAACCUUGAGUAUAAAAAGAAUGGAAUAGUCCUGCUCAUAGUUAUACUUUAAAUAUCUAAGUACAUUGGAUUCCUUGAAUUGGGAUCCUGUCUUUACCAGAAGCAGCCCCCAGGAAAUGCCUUACAGAAGACGGAAGCAAGGAAGGCAGUUUCAGAAGGAAGCCUGGCUGGGACAGCAGAGGAGCAGCCCCGAGCCUCACUGCCAGCACAAGCACGGAGCGUUCAGCAAGUUGACUUGCCUAAGUCUCACAAUAUAACCAGAAAUGAGAAAUAAUGCCGUGCACAACUCCCCUAGGGAAAAGCUGAUGAUACUUGUAAACAUGGCGUUCAUAGAGAGGCUUCAGAGCGUGGCAGUCUAAACGAGAGGAGUUCUGUUGAGUGCUUUGCUCAUGGAGACACUAACCAUGACUUAGCACCCAGCCUGUCUAGAGGAGGUUCCAAUAAAUAACCCAUCCAUCUUGUUUUUGGUUCUUAUAAACUCAGCCACAGCUCUCCUGCAAUCCCUCUCAUUCUCUGAUCACAAUUUACCUUGCACUGCUUGCAAGUUUCUCUCAACUGCCAUCUGGGGCCCGUUAUCUCGUUCUAAGUCUCCCCUACUCAGCUGCUCUGUACUGCACAUCUUCAGCCUCCCUCAUUGUCUUAAUCCCUGGUAAACCUGGAACUCCUCCUCAUCACAUGCCCGAGACUCCUCAUGGCCCAGUGAUCAUCUUUAAGAUAUGCUGUUUUUCCAAAUCAGCCCUUGUAACUUCUUGUUCUGUGCUCUAACUUCCUGAAUGAUUGAACCACUAUAGCUGGAAGCCUCAGGCCAUUUCUGACUCUUCUUUUCCUGCAGUUCCUGUCUCUAUGUGUUCUUCAUUUUGCAUGUCCCUGUAUCCCACUCCCUGGUCCUGGCUCAGUGUGGCCGUCGUUCAUCUAGACAUCUUGAGUGGCCACUUAACUACCUCAUUCUUUUCAGUCAUCACCUGCUUAGGAACGCACACUACAGAGAAUGCAAAAGGGUUUCAAAUCCAGUGUAGCAGGCCAUUUAGUGGUUUAUAAAAAAUAAAACCGAAUUUCCAUAUUAUCCAGAACUUUCACUGGUAGGUAAAAAGUUUAGACUUAGACAAAUACAUAUGUUACAAAGCAGAACUAUUUACAAUAGACAAAUGUUAAAAAAAAAAGCACAAAUUCCACCACCAGAUGAAUAAAGAGUGUGUUAUCUGCAUACAAUAGAAUAUUAUUUAGUCAUUAAAAAUCAGUACUGAUACAAAUAUCGGUGUUAAGUUAGGAAAGCAAACAAAGUGGUUGUAUCACUCUACUUCUAUGAAAUGUUCACGAUACACACACACACAUACACCCCAGAACUUUAUAACUCAGGUUGCUGGUUGCUAGGUGACCAUGCAGUUGUUUCCAUGAGGACAGGGUUUCCGGUUGGAGGAUGCCAAGAUUCUGGUUCCAGGUUCAUUCCCCAGUUAGUGAUGCUGCAUACUGCCCUGUUCACUUUAGAAGGAAAGGUUUCUGUUUGGUGGAGUUUGCUGUAGUUACUUACACAAGCCAAGCAACCUUUCGCUGGCUCCCCCUUGUGUACAGAUGGAACUCCAGGUCUCUAGCUUCUCAGGAAGUCCUGUGCAAGCUGGUUAAGCCUUAGCUCCCACCUUCUGGCUGUGGCUGCUCUUCUUUCUCCCUUGCCUUCUCUACCUAUGGGAAUUGCUGCUCCUGUGAGAUAAUUUAUGUCUUUUACUGCACCCAGCUUUGCCUCAAGAUGCUCAGUCUGUCUGUCUUGGUAAGUCCAGCCACACUCUGAGACAGACCCUGAGUGUCAGCUCCCCUGGAAGGUAGCCCCUCCCAUUCCAUUUUCUGCCCAUGGGAGCAACAGUCCUGGAGCCUUUCUCUCCUGCCCAUCAUAGCUGGUGCUCAGAGAGUGGACCGUCUGUAACCCACGUCUUUCUGCACGCCCCACACCCUGCAAUGAGUGUGAUGGAUGACUACACUUAGCUUUUAAAUAAUAAUUUUCUGUCUUAAGCAGUAAUUUUUACUUCUUCAGUUAUAAAUUGAUUGUGGUUAAAAAAAAAUUUUCCAGUUGCACCUGGCCACAUCUUGAUUUUCAGAUUUUCAGUAUGAGUGCUAUGUGGAAUUAGAUUGGAGUUGCAACCAGUGUUAUGUUUUUUUGUUUUUGUUUUUGUUUUUUUUUUAAUGUCACAUAGCUGGGUUUGUAAAUAAUUAGCCAGUAUACAUUUGUGUUUUGUGAGAGGCAUAAGGACUUUUCAAUUUAUUAUAAUUUCAAUAGAGUUCUUUUUAUAUGUGAGCUAUCAAAAUAUUGAUAUUUCUAUUUGGAUUUUGGUAGAAAAAUUCUUGUUGAAAAAAGAAAAAGAACCACAUUGUACCCAUUUCAUGUACAAGUAAGGCAAGAUUGUGGUUGGAUAAUGGGGAGGGAUGAUUUCUGUUUGUAUUUUACCCAGUACCAAGUACUUAUUUAUACAAAAUAAAUUUCUUCUUGGACAAUUUCCUACAUGUAUAUAUGUAUCAAAAUGUACUCUGAUUACUCUUAUGUUGCACAGUUUCUCAUCUCCCUCCAACAUCUGAUUGCUCAAAGUACUAAGAAUAAGGAAGGGUGCUAGUCCUAAAGAGGACUUCGAUCCCACGAUCCCAUGCCCUCUAAGGUUGGCAACAUUGCAGAAGGGGAGUGGAAAGAAUGUAGCAGCUGGAAGAAGGGAAGAACAGCUGUGCAAUACUAUUGUCUGGGCAUGGCUUCACCAAUGCAAUCAAGAACCCACAGCAGCUGUGGUUGCCUGCCCUGGGCCUACACAGACUGAACCAGUCAAUUGCUAGUCAUGGAUGAUGUCUUAGUCAGGGUUUCUAUUCCUGCACAAACAUCACGACCAAGAAACAGGUUGGAGAGGAAAGGGUUUAUUCAGCUUACACUUCUAUACUGCUGUUCAUCACCAAGGAAGUCAGGACUGGAACUCAAACAGGUCAAAAAGCAGGAGCUGAUGCAGAGCCAUGGAGGGAUGUUCUUUACUGGCUUGCUUCCCCUAGCUUGCUCAGCCUGCUCUCUUAUAGAGCCCAAGACUACCAGCCCAGAGAUGGCACCACCCACAAGGGGGACCUCCUCCCUUGGUCACUAAUUGAGAAAAUGCCUUACAGCCGGAUCUCAUGGAGGCAGUUCUCCAACUGAAGCUCCUUUCUCUGUGAUAAAUCCAGCCUGUGUCAAGUUGACACAAAAAUAGCCAGUACAGAUGGGGAAGGGGUCUAUGGAACUGAACCUAUCCUUGCUAAGGUAUUAGCGAGUAAGGGGCUCGCAGGGGAGUGGGGAGUCAUGUUCUUUAGAUGGGAACCCACUGGGGAGCUCACCAGAGUCCACUAAUAGUUGCAUAUCUGUGGUUACUCAAACAUCCCUGGUUAAACUGCAGGGCGAUACUACAUUUCUGAAAGUAAGGUGGAGUACAGGUGAGGAAGAAAACAUAGAACAAAAGAAAAAAGACAGGAUCAUGGUCAUGGGGUUGUAGGGAAGAGGAUACAAUGUAUUAGCCUUCUAAUAUUCUCCUUUGAUAUUUUCAGGAGGAAUAAUGCAAGUCUUUCUAUCUUUGGUAAAAAUUCCCCCAAAAUUCCAUAUUUGGGAGGGUCAAGAGAUGACUUGGUCAGUCAAGUGCUGACUGUGCAAGAAUGAGGCCCUAAGUGUGUAAUCCCAGCACCCGUGUAAAACACCAGGCAUUAUGGCACACGCCUGUGAUCCUGACACUAGGAGGCAGAGACAGGUGAUCCAUGUGGUUUGCUGACAAGCCCAAAUUGAAGACUCUAGGUUUAUUGAGCUACCCCAUCUCACAAAGCAAGGUGGAGUGCAACAGAGGAAUACACUUAGCAUUGACCUCUAGCCUCACGUGCACAUGAACACAUACAUGCACAUGGACAUAUACCAAUGCAGACACAGGUGGAUGCUUAUGCAUAUGUACACCACAUAUACACUUUUAAAGAUUAUUUGUGCGGGCCACUCUGUUAAUUAAUAACAUUAUAUUUUCUUAGCUCCUCCUCCUUCUCCUCCUCUUCCUCCCCCUUCUUCCUCCUCUUCUCUGUACUUGAAGCUUCAUUAGAUCAGAUUUUCAGGGCCAGUGAUGAGACCGUGUUCAGAAUGAUGUAAUGCAGCCGCCGAGGUUUGCCGAGGAGUGAGUGAGGUUCAGUGUUGUUCCCAAGGUGUCUGCAGCAGGAUGGGGGGAGCAGACAGAGAUGCUCAUAGUUACUAUCUCAUAUGAUAGAUGCUGUGACUGACAUAUGUAAAUGACCUACUACACAAAGGAGAGAGACCCUCUCUGCACUGGGGGUGGGGGUAGAGGUGGUGUGGGGGUGCCUUGGGAUAGAGUUGAAUUUCACGAGUGUUGGGAGCAACCAGAUUUAAUGAUGUCUGGAGAAUGUCUCUCCCACCACAUGUGAAGUAUUUUUACCAGUUGUGUUAGAUAAAUGUAAACUAGAUUUAAUUGAAUUUGCUGCUGAACGUCUAGUUGAAACCUAUUUUAAUAACUAUCACCAACAUACCAUUUACUGGAGAACAUUUCAGGCUCAAAUGCACACUAAAUGUGCAAUUUUUGUUUACCUCUGUGUUCCUUCUGGCUGCAGUAUAUUUGAUUGCAAGAUUAACUCUCUGGGCCAGCUCAUUCCCUGAUGUUGCUCGAUAAAGGAGAGCGCCAUGCAAGACUGUGUGUGCAUUUUGUUUGAGACACAGACUCUGAGUGGUUUCACAUCUAGUGCAAAGAUCUGAGUAGAAGGUUGAACUUCAAUUAGUUGCGUUUAUGAACCACUGACAGCGUAGGGCAGUAUAUGAGGCAUGUAGGAAAUUACAAAGGAAAUAGUAAGCACAAUCUUUGUUCAUAUUGAGGUUAUAAUCUAAUGGAACAGAUAUAAAUGGAGAUACAUGAUAACAGAUGAAAUAAACAUAAAAACAUAGUCAUAACCAGUUACAGAUGGAUAGAGAUAUUUGCACGGAUGCUGUGGGGACAGGAAAAUGGAUGCUGUGGCUGUUGCCAGCUGCAGAGAGGCAGGGGCUGCUACCUGUGUGAAUUGGAUGCAGAAGCACAAAGCCAGGAAGAACAAGGGUCAGCUUAGUGGAAUCAUUCUAGGAAGUAGACUGAAUGGAAAAACAAAACAAAACAACCAAACAAAAGCAAAGGGGCCAGGCAUUGGGAAGGGCACGGAUGCAAGGUUUAAUGCAAUAGCUGAGAUUCUGUGAGCUGUAGAGUUCUCUUGGAAACCAACCAUAUUAAAAUAGGCUAAUAGCUGACCAAGCAAUUCUGGGUAUCAAUGACUUAAUGAUAUCAGAGUUGUGUGCUUUUUGCAUCAUAUUCCCCAACCUCUCUCUACCAACUUCUUAUACUUAGUGUAGUUGUUCAAACAUCCAAAUUCAAUCCAGAUGGCUUGGAUGAUAGGAAUCUUCUUAUAGGUUCUAAGUUCCUCCCUCUAUAUUUAUUUCCCUCCUUUUUUCUGUUCCUCCUUCUCUCCCUCUCUCCCUCCCUCCUUUCUCCCUCCCUCAUCCAUCCAUCUUCCUUCCUUCCUUCCUCCCUCCCUCUCUCCCCCUUCCCUCUUCCUUCCUUCCUUCCUUUCUUUCUUUCUUUCUUUCUUUCUUUCUUUCUUUCUUUCUUCCUUCCUUCCUUCCUUCCUUCCUUCCUUCCUUCCUUUAUCUCUCUCUCUCCCUCCCUCCUUUCCUCCCUCCCUCCUUCCUUUCUUUCUUCCUUCCUUCCUUCCUUCCUUCCUUCCUUCCUUCCUUCCUUUAUCUCUCUCUCUCCCUCCCUCCUUUCCUCCCUCCCUCCCUCCCUCCUUUCUUUCUUUCUUUCUUUCUUUCUUUCUUUCUUUCUUUCUUUCUUUCUUUCUUUCUUUCUUUCUUCUCUUUAUAUUGAGAAAGGGUCUCAUGUAGCCCAGGCAAGCUUUCAACUGAACUCACUGUAUUUCUAAGGGCCAUCUUGAAUGUCUUGUCCAUGGGAGAUACAGGCAAUCCUCACAGGGAAGCAUUCCUACUCAUAGCAUACCAACUGGAGAACUUAGCCUCUUGGCUGCAACACCAACCAAGGGCUGGGGUACAAUGGAGUUGGGUUCUGUGCAGGAAGGAGCAUGGCUCUGUAAAACACAGAGCACCCCCUUGGUAGCAGUUUUGUUAGGGUCUUACAAAUGUAGACUAUAUCCUCAUUUUCCACCUGCACGUUAGGCUCAUCUCUGCAGUCUGCCCUGUCAUCAACAGUCUCCAUACCUACUCCUUCCUGGCUUCAUUUUAAAAAAUAAGAUGCUUUGUCUUUUAUUACCAUAGCGUGAUACUCUAGUCAAAAUUUCUCUUUCAUUUUUGUAUUUACCAGGCACCUGCAGCAUAUCUUCUUGGCCUCUGCUUCAUUCCUUCUUCUGUGUGUAGAUGAUUUUGUCAGUGGCCACUAACAAAGUAAUCUCCUGAUAAUUGCACUGGUUUAAAAAUGAUUUUAUUAUAAUAAUAAUUCCUACCUAAAGUUCCAUGCUGAAUAUUGUUCCAUGGUAAGCAGUCACUUUGUCCUUGCCAUGUUUUCAGUAACUCUUUCCUCCCCUUUGUGUGAGCAGUUCCAAGUACCAUAGUGUACUGUUAAAGAAUCAUUAUUAUUCUAUGUCUGCCUCUUUCCCAGUCGCAGUUCUAAUUACUAGCCCCAAGAAGGCUCUAGGCCAGGGAGACUUUUUACUUCUGUCUCUGAGUAUAGAGGAAGCCAAUUCCUACCCUAGACAUACACACUUCUAGAGCAUGGGUUAUCCCAGCCUUUCUAGAGCUUCCAUGGCUUAUACAAGCACCGUAGCCUUUGAUAAACAUUGAUGUAUGUUUCGUAGAGCCCCUGGUACAUAGUCAUGUGCAGCCUUUCUUGCUAUAAAAAUGUUUGCUGUGUGCAUGUUUUGUCUUUCCACAUUGAUUGUUAAGAUCGGUAAGGGCAGGGAGUGUGACAUAGAUCUUAUAACUUCUCACAGGGUAGAGCAUGUAACUAGGCACAAGAUGAUUACUCAGCAAAUACAUGCUGAAAAAAAAAA